rnacentral:lncRNA from 1 species
UUGCCUAGGUUGAAGUGAAAUGUUAGCAACCCAACAGCCAACCCAAUCAUUUUAUUUUCUCUCCUCCCCAGAACCAAACUCCAGCUCCUGUCCAUUAAAUCCCAACUUUAUAAUACACCAACUGGACCCACACCCCAAAAUCUAGAAAUGAAUGAAACUUCCUUUGUUGCUAGCAAAUUCUUCUAUUUAUAGCUUCGGCAAACCCACACAACUUCACAGAGCAAAAUCCCUUGCUUUUGUAGCAAGCAGUUCUGGCUCUGAUAAAAACGAGUCCAGAGACACUGAUCAACAGCUCAACGUUACAUUUUUCAUAAUUUCCUACAAUAUGGGUGUGGAUAAGCUUGUUUUGGUUUCCUUGGUUUUGGUCGAGAUAUUUCUGGUCCAAGCAAUGGCUGAUAAAUCUGAGCUGAACCCAUCUGAGAUUAAGGCUCAUAAUGAGGAUGAGCCAGGUUGGGUGUUUCCUAGAGAAGCCGAUGAGCCUGCUGCAACUCCUGCCGAGUCAUCUAACGAGACCAGAGGGGCCGAUGCACCAGAGAUCAGACGGCUAGGAAAGCAUCAUUUAUCAGAUAAGUCCGUGGCUGGUGGUGGUGUCAUCAUUGGUGGACUUGUCACCGCAAUUUUCGCAGCUGUCUUUGCCUACAUUCGAGUUACAAGAAAAAGGGAUGGAGUUAAAUACUGAGCUUUGUUUCUUUGUUGACUCUGUGGGUUUCUGCUUUUUAGUUUUCACACAUUUUUCCUCCUUUGUCUCGUAGAGCUAUAGGUAGAAGUGAAGGAGUGAUCUUCAUACAUAAGCAUUUCACUAGCUAGAAGAGGAAUUGCCAUUCUUUUCUUGUAAUAUUGUGUAAAUAUCAAAUUGAAAUUGCAUCUCUAUAGCGUGAAAAAUCUGGCUUUUCCCUACUGUGGGAGAACUAAGAAGUCUGUUACUUUUUUUUUUGGUUUCAUUUAAUUUUUACUUUUCCUGGGAGCACGUUGUGUAGCUUGAUUGUAAUAUGACGCAUAUUCUAGGAAGGAGUGGAUUUUGAGAGUUAUAUUUUUAGAAUUGGUUCCAAACUAAAAAAAGAACGGCAAAUCUUUCCUUACUGCUUGACAAAUGAAGAAUUAUUUUUCAUUUUAUGAAAUAAGAAAUGGAGAAUCUUUGACAUGGUAGAUACUGUUUUUUCUUCUGUUUUAACAGGAAAGUAGAUCUGUUAGAAGCUGCUCGCCUGCUCCUUCAUUUAAGAAUUAUCUUUCACAUGAAAUUGUUGGGUGUUCAGAUCUGAUACUCCAUGGUCUAAUUUUUUUUAUAGCGUGAAUCUCAGUUUGUUUCCCCUAAGGCUAAGAGUGAAUAUUCCCAGUUUCCUGCUUUCAUACCCUUCAAAAUUUUCCUUGGUUCAAAAGUUUCCUCGUUUCCACUGUGCUUGAGUUGUGUUGUCCGAAAAUUUGAGGCGUAAUGUUUUUGUGCCUGUACCAUAGAAACAAGGAAAGCUGAAACACGAGAGGCGAUUUUCAAUUUUGCCCUACCAGACCAGGUCAGCACAAGAUGCAAUAAUAGCAGCAAGCUGUCUCUAGCGUUUUCUCCGGCGCUGCUAAAUAAAUAUGAAACCUCUCAAGCAGCGCAAAUUAAAUGAAUGCUUAGGAGAGCUUCAAGUUUUCGAAACAGCCAAGCCUAAACCAUUUGACUGCGCUUCGCAGCCCUAACUGAACGGUUUCGAAAGUAGGACCUAAUUAAGACCACCAAGACCGAGUAUCCCCCAGAAGAAUUACUGGAUCAUGUGCUUUAUAACCAAACUUUUAUAGAUGUCACUGUCAUGCCUUAACUUUCAUUAAUGGUUCGUCAACCCCUAUUAGCAAAAUCUAUAUUUGGUGGGAAGAAAUUCCACGCCAGCUGAAGUUCGGAUAUUCAAGCACAGCUCGGCAACAGUUGUUCAAUUAUCAUUCUCCGGAGCAAAUUGCUUGCCUCAAUCGAUGAAUAACUAACAUUCUCAAAGUCAAUUCGCGAAAUCUGACACUGUAAUCGUAUGGUUGUUUAGAUGUAGUAAGAGUGCAUUUAUCCCCAGGAUAUAUAACUAUGCUACAAUAAAUAAAAUUUGAAGCUGAAAUUUUAAUUUUAAGAUAAAAUGUGGCAACAACUGGAGUCUUUUCCUAACCAAUAUUAGAUGGAAGAGUCGAUCAUACAAAUCAACGAACCGUCAAGUGUGGGGUCAAUCACCAACACAUUUGCGACACCCUAUUGUAAUGAAACAAUGCAAAUAUGGAACGUUGAACAGUUGGCCCCGUGAAUUGGUGAAAGGUAACCUGAUGAGCAAAGUACUCUAGCCAAGGAUGUUUUGUGGUUUCCGGGAGAUAAAAACAAAAAACAAAAAAAUCCUUCAACUUUAUGUGCUUUCUAAUUGAGUCUUUAUAUUUAUCAAGCAAUGUCUAAGAUAUUUGAGUAUGAAUUUAGAAAAUAAAAAAAGAAUUAAUUAAAUAUUUAUAAAAUUUAAUUACCUUAUCCGCCAUUUAUCUCUUAAGUCAAAGAAGUGUGUUAAGGCUUAAGGAGUUGUUCCUUCACGGACCGUUACUUAAGCAAAGCCCUGGUAAAAUCAUGACUGGUAAAGUUUAAAAAGCGCAAGAGGCUACAGUCGAUAGAAGCUGAUAUAGACAAAAUUUGGGGCUACAUGAGUUGCCAAAGGCCCAUGCAGCUGAAGUAUAGUCUGGGCCUUUGGGUUUAACCAGAGUGCAAUUGGAGACAACCCAAGAAAUGAUAUUAUAAAGUGAUUACGUCAAGCAAUGCGAUUUACUUGACUCAAAACUCGUCUCUGUUUCCCUCUCACAACCAAUUUUCAAAGCAGAAAAAUGGCCUUUUCUCCAAAUUGGUGGCGUGCACCAGUCUACUUCACCGUCUCUGUUUUGUUGGCUUUCUUAGCAAUCUCCACAGCGCUACGCUCACUGCCCAAAAAUGAACCACUACCUACAGAAUCGACCACAGCUCCAAUCUUUUUGGAAGCCUCUGGCGCAUUAAGAAGAUCAGGGUUUAACAUCAUAGCCGCCCUCUUUCAAAUCACCCCUGAAAUCUUCCUUUCUUCUCCGCACUCAACAAUCUUUGCAAUCCCGGACUCUUCCAUUGCAAACGCCUCACAAACUUCUUGGCUCUUGAAGCAUCUUUUUCAGUAUCAUACCUCUCCUCUUCAGCUUUCCAUGAAUGAUCUCCUGAAGAAGCAUCAAGGAAGUUGCUUCCCUACCCUACUUCAUCGAAAGAAUGUCGCUAUAACUAGGGUUGAUGCGAAAGAAAGAGUGGUAGAGAUCAAUCAUGUGUUGGUUUCACAUCCGGAUAUCUUUCUUGAAGGGCCCUUAACUAUUCAUGGUGUUCUUGGUCCAUUCACUUCGAUCGAUCCUCAAUAUGUUGAGCAGGUUUGGGAUCAUAUUCAAUCACCUAUAUGUGAUUCUAAUCUUAGCUUGGUUUCGGAGGUUAUUGACACCAAGAACGUGGUUGAAUGGACACAUAUUAUCCGUUUGCUAAGCUCCAGGGGAUUCGUUUCGUUUGCAAUUGGCCUGAAUUCUGUUCUUGAUAGGAUUCUUGAAGAUAAAAUGAACUUGAGUUCUGUUACAGUCUUUGCUCCACCAGACUUUUCGUUUGUAGCAUCUCCUUCAGCUUUGCUUGAUAAAUUAGUGAGGUUUCAUAUACUACCUCGAAAGUUCACCUACAAGGAACUUGCUUCUUUGCCUGCUAAUGCUUCACUAAGUACUUUAAUUCCUGAUCGUGAUCUUGAGAUAUCUGGGGGCGUCAAUGUCACACAAGAAUUGAUCAUUAAUGGAGCUAAGAUUGUUACACCAAAUAUCUUUCUAUCCAAGAAGUUUGUGGUCCAUGAAAUUUCCCAUGUUUUCCAACUGGCUGAGCUUCCUAAGACCUCUAGCUGAGUGCAGUUCCAUAGACAAGAGGAUCGACGCUUGUUAGUCCAUACCAAGGGGCAGAGCUGAUUUUCCCUUGUGUCUUUAAAGCUCCAGAUGUAUAACCCAUAGAUAGCUUGGUAUUCCUCGUACUCAUGUGGGUAAAUUUUGUUAUCUGACCGAGUGCCUUACUUUAACUCUUUGAUUUUUCUUGAAGAAGUUGUAGAUCUUUAUAUGCAAACAGGGUUUUUUUUUUUUCUUUUAUAUAUUUUAUCUUUGGACAGCAGAUUCAAACAGGUUGAAGUCAUUAUUUCUUAUCACGAAUGGCUUAAUUCAGAAAAAAAUCGAUGCAAAAAAUAAAUAAUUAUGCAAAGCAUUGUGAAUUUCAGAAGGAGCCGGUAAAUCAAAACGAUAACGUUGCCAGAGUUCCAGACAAAAAAAAAAGUUUCAGGUCCAUCCCCUUCUUAACAUCAUGAUUAAUAAUUAAAUGAUUCAAAAAAAAAUUAUAUGAUGAAAGGGUAAAGAUCUUGAGUUGGAAACUUGGGAAGUUGAAAUAAUCAUAAGGGUCUCCUUUCUAUCAAAGAAGAAUUUUAAGUAGUACAUCACAUAUAAAGCCUGCCUGCCUCCCUAUAAGAUGAUGACAAUAGUGAUAAUAAUAGUUGGAUCAGGAUCUCCGCGCUAUCUGUUCAAACAAUAGUGAUAAUAAGAGUUGUUGUAUUAUGAGCUUCCCAAAUUUGUCGUUGUCAAUUUCCUGCAGCAAAGAUAAAUAGCGCCGUGUUAACCUUGUUCUGCAAUCUCUCGAAGUUAUCGCUUGGAAAUUGCAUCGACUCCUUGAGGUCAUUUUUUUUUUCUUCCCCUUCUUUAUUCUCUUGCAUAUAAACUUGAUUUGGGGCCUGCACUGCCUGGCAUAAUAUUGCAAUUGCUUCACUGAAUUAUGUAUAUGUCAGUAUGUGUGUCUAUCAUAGAGUAAAAGUAGAAGGCAAGUAUUUAUGUAUAUAUAGUUUUCUGUUUUUAUAAUUUGUUUUGACUCAUUACGGCAAUGUCCAUUGCAGAUUUUAUCAACGAUAGGUUCUGCUGGUCGCCUUCCAUUUUCAUUUGUGAAUCUCAGGAUAUUGUAACUCCAAAUUGUUGAUGUGAGCCUUGCUUUGAAGACCAAGCAAAAUUAAGCACUUAGUGAAGGACCGUACUUUUGAUGUUAUGUAUGACAGAUUGCUUGUAUUAGAGAAAAAUGUCAGCAAUGGCAUGAUUAGGUUUAAUGUUAGCUGCUUUGUUCAAACUCAAGUCAAUUAUUGUACGUUCAUACAUAAGUUAAAAAUGAAUAAAGAAAGGUUGGGGUUUGCCAUUCAAUUUCAGUUCAUCUUUUUUAUUUCCUCUCGUUUUUCACUUAUGUUUCAUCUUUAAUGCUCUACAUCUACGUAGACCUAUCAAAAUGGGUCUGACCCAUUGAGUUGGUUCUUUUUUAUUGAAUAUGAGGUAAGUUGAGUUUAAAAAUUUAGGCUUAUAUUAGAAUAGGGUCUAAAUAGGCCAGCCCAUCAGAUCAGUGGGCUAGGGUGGGCCAAUUCCGUGAGUUAAAAAAAUUUAAUAAUUUUAUAUAUUUAACUAUAAAAAAUUAAUAAUUUAGUUACUAAUGGUAUUGCUUAUUUGAUAUAUUUUAAUGUCUUUAAUUUUUACUUGUCAAUUUAAUAAUUUUAAUUUAGAUUAAAACUUAUUAUCUCUUUUUCAUUUAUGACAAUGAAUAUUAGAUGAUAAAUUGAUAAUUAUUCAGACCUUGAGACAUUAUUACUGUUUAAACAACAUUUAAAUGUUUUGCUUAAGGAUGAGGACUAAGAAGGAUAUAAAUGAGUUUUGAAAUUUCUAUUAUUUGGUUAUAUACUUAUGUUUAUGGGAUGGUAGUUUGUGUUAAAGAUUUAAAUUUUAUUUAUGUAAUUUAUUUGUUUGUAACAUGUUUUUAUUAUUCAAUUUAUGAAUUAAAUCACAGAAUAAUUUUAUUGAUAGAAAAUUUAUUAGAUAAAAUUAUAAAAAUGAUUUUUUUUUUUGAAAAAAGAAAUGGGUUGGUCCAACCCUACCCAUGGGCUAGCGAGGAGUUGGAUGGGUUGAGGUUUUGAUACCCAUGUAAAAAGUGGACUGACUCAACCCAACCCAUAUUUUCUCAACCCGUAAGGGCUUAAGUCGGGCUAGCCCAUAUUGACACCUCUAUAUCUAAGUUUUAUACUAUUAAUGCUUUAAAAACCAACAUGACAUCACACUUUACAUAAUCUUAAAGGCCUAUUAACAAGUUUUAAAUGCCUUCACUUAGAAAAGAAAGAUCACCCUCCUUCAACGUUGCAUGGAUUUGAUCAGUUCUUUAAACCUUUCACCACUAGUCUUCAAUGGUGAGAACUUUAUUGUUUGAAGUAUCAAAAUGAAGGCCUUCCUUAGAGCAAUUGACCUCUGGGAGGUAGUUGAACAAGGUGAAGACCUUCUUAAGCUAAGAGUUAAUCCUACAAUAGUUCAAAUGAAGCAACAUAGUGAAAAGGUGGUUAAAAGAUACAAGGCACUAUCUUAUUUGCACAAUGCAGUAAGAGAUAUUAUCUUCACAAGGAUCAUGGCUUGUGAAACAACCAAAGAAGCUUGGGCUAAGCUGAAAGAAGAGUUUCAAGGGUCAGAUUGAACUAGGAGAAUGGAGGUUUUGAACAUGAUAAGACAGUUUAAAGUGCUCAAGAUGAAAGAGAAUGAGGUUGUGAAUGAAUAUAUGGAUAAACUCAUGAAGAUAGUAAACCAAGUGAGGCUACUUGGGGUAGUGUUUAUUGAUAAAAGAAUAGUUGAAAAGGUUUUAGUAAGCAUACCAAAGAGUUUAAGGCCAAGAUCUCAACUCUUGAAGAGUCAAAGGACCUUUCCAUGAUGUCCUUUGCAAAAGCUAGUCAAUGCACUUUAAGCCUCAAAGCAAAUAAGGUAGAUUAGGUUUGAUAAUCAUAUUGAAACUGCAUUGCAAGCCAAGUUCAAGGACAAGAGUGUCUUUCACAAUAGCAACAAAAGGCUUACUAGUGAUAAAAAGGACAAAGAGGGGAAAACAACUACAAACGUGAAGCAACAAGUAUACAACUUGUUCUCUUUGUAAGAAAACCAACCAUUUUGAAAACUUUUGUUAGUUUAGGCUUAAUGUGAAAUGCAAAAAUUGUAAUCAGCUUGGUCAUGUAGAGAAGGUUUGCAAAAACAAGGCCACUUAGCAACAUUAGCAAGCUCAAGUAACAGAAAAAGUUGAGACAAUAGAAAAUCUAUUGUUCAUGGCACCUAAAGGUAAUUUGUUUGGGAAAGUUAGGGCAAACUUGAUUAAUUGACAGUGGCUAUUCAAGUUACCUUACACCAAAUUCAUCAUUGUUCACCUUAAUUGGCCAAAAUCAGUAUCCAAGAAUAGAAAUUAGGAAUGGUGACUACUUGGAGGCUAUUGGCAAAGUUACGUGUUAGCCUUGAGUUAUAUCAUGUUUUAAUUUGAUAAAAAUCAUAUGUUUUCUUGAACUUAAUGUCAAGCAUUUGAAAUUGUCUCAAAUACAUUUUUAAUCCCUUAAGGUUACAUAUUUGUUUAGAAAGCCAUGCAUCUUUGAAAAACACCUUGUAAGUUUCAAACAAUACGUUUUCAACUAAAAAAAUCAAGAGCAAACAUGCCUUGAAAUGUUUAUUUGAAUAUAGGUGCAAGGUAAAGUGGUAGUAGCUAGAGAGAAAUACUGAAAAGCUAAGGAAACGUCAAGACACAAGCUAAGAGUAAAUCUUAGAGAAGCUCAAGUUGAUCUGAAGGUUGAAAGAGUGGAAAACAUGAAGAUUGCGCGAGCAUAGUCAACUACAAAGGAAGCAUAGUCGACCCUGAUACGUCAAAAAUGAGAAAAGUCCAGAUUACACAGCCAUAGUCGACUAUAGAGGAGGUAUAGUCAACCCUGACAGGUCAAAGGCCAAAAAAAGUCAACUUUAAACAAAUAUAGUCAACUAUAAGAAAUGCAUAAUUGACUAUAAAAAGCUAGGUUUGAAAAAUACACGUUCUUUAGAAGUUGAUUGACUAUAGAAAGAUUAUAUUCGACUAUAAAAGCCCUAAUUGAGAAAUUUGAAGUACAUAGUCAACCCUAGGAGCGUUGUAGUCGACUUUUAAGCUUCAACAAUGGUCAGAUUUGAUUCAAACUUGUGUCUAACGGCUUUAACCCUUGCCCCAGGUAUAAAUAUAUGCAUUUGAGCCAUUUUGAAGUAGAGAAAACCUGAACAAAAGCUUUAAACCCUAGAUAUACUACUCACAAUCUCAUCUUCACUUUCUAACAUCUUUUUAAUCUUCCAAUAAGUUUUCAAAGUUGAAUCCUUACUUCAAUCAAGCUGAAAUUUCUUCUCUUACUACACCAAACUAAAAUCUUUAACGUCCAGCCUUUGUCAGGUAAAUCUUUGCUAUUGCUCAUUUGUACACACAUCUUGUAAAGGUUAUACCUUAACGUUGAAAAGUAUCUUGUAAGGGUUAUCGCUUCCCUUUUAAAAAGCAAGAAUCAUUUAUAGAUUGUGUGGGUUACCUCUUCAUCUCUUGAAAAAGUAAGAAUCCCUUUGUGGAUUGUGUAAAGGUUAUCGCUUGAUCUCGUAAAAAGUCAUUCUAAGGGUUGCCACUUGAUCCCGUGAAAAAGCAAGAAUCUCUUUGUGGAUUAUGUCGGGCUUAUUGCUUCCUAAUAAUAAGCAAGAAUCCUUGAUAGUGGAUUGAAAUUCCUUGGUUACUAAGGGAGUGGAUGUAGGCAUCGAAAAAACCAAAUCACUAUAAAUCGUUUAUGUCUCUUUUUAGUUUCUACAUUAUAUUUAUGGUUUAUACUUGCCUUAGGAAAAUAUAUUUAUAUUGAUUUAUUGUUUUUCUCUUAGGAAAAUAUUUUUCCAUUACCUUUCAGAGCUAACAUUUAUUCCAAGAAAAAUAUUUUAUCUUGAUUCAUUAUUUUUAUAUUUAGGGAUUUAUUGUUGAAAAUUUGUUUUUGAUAUUAGAAAAAAAUUUUAAGUAAAAAAGGUUGAUUUUUUAUACUUAGAUUUUUAAAAAAAAUUUUUAAUAUAUCAAUUCACCCCCUACUUAAUAUAGUGUUCAUUGAGACUUCUACACUAACAUUACUAUAGCAAUUUCUAUACCAAAUGGAACCAAGUAUGUUCCCAAUGUGUUUUUAAUGCCUCAAGCUUGUUAGAAUUUGCUUAGUGUUGUUCAAAUGCUAAUCAAUGAUUAUACCUUAUUGUUUAAAAACCAAGCAUGCACUAUAAUUGAGCUUUUAGAUAGUGUACUUAUGGCUGUUCAAAUGAAAAAUAGGUGUUUUACAUUAGAUUGACAUCAUUUAAACUUGAAUGCAGUUGAAAAAGUUGAUUAAGAUGUUAUUGAGUUAUGGCAUAUGAGAUUAAGGCAUUGCAAUUAUGCAAGAAUGAAACUGUCGAAUUUUGAGAAUUUAGUGACAAAUAUGCCCUUUAUGCAUACUUAUUCUAAUAUCUAUGAAGUUUGUCAAUUAGGAAAGAAAAUAAGGUUGUCAUUUCCUUUGAAAAGUACUAGAAGAGCCUUGGAAAAGCUUGAAUUGAUCCAUUUUAAUGCAUGAUGGCAAUUGAGUGUUGAAUCACUCAAUAGCAGUUAGUACUUUUUAUUGUUUGUUGAUGACUAUUCUAGGAUGACCUAGAUCCACUUUCUCAAGUACAAAUUUGAGAUAUUUAGUAUGUUAAAAAAGUUCAAGGCCUAUGUUUAGCUUGAAUUAGUUUGCAAGUUAAAAAGCUUGAGAAUUAUUUGAGUUUGUAUCAAUCAAGUUUCAAGAAUUCCUAGCUACUGCAGGAAUUAGGCACCUAUUUACGAUAUUCUAUUCUCUUCAAUAAAAUGGAAUAUGUGAAAGGAAGAACAAGAUAUUGUUCAACAUUGCUUUGUGCUUGUUAUUUGAAAAAUCAAUGCCUAAGCUUUUCUAGGCAAAAGUAGCUAACAAAGUUGUUUAUUUGCAAAACAUACUACCAACAAGAGCAUUAGAGAGAAUGACACCUCAUGAAGCUUGGCAUAAGGUUAAAUCUAUAGUUAAACAUCUUAGAAUCUUUGACUAGAUAUGUUAUUUGCAUGUUACAAAGGCAAAAAGGUCCAAGUUAGACCCAAAGGCAAAAUUGGGAGUGCUUAUGGGUUACGGUUUGCAAGGUAAGAGAUAUAAGGUGUUCAAUUUAAGUUCCAAGAAAGUUUAGGUUGCAAGAAAGAUCAAGUUUGAUGAGAAUGCACAGUGGAAUUAGGAAUCAAAAGUGAUUGAGGCUUUAGAUGACAAGUUGCUUGGUUUAAGGUCGUUACCAAAAGUUGUUCAAGAGCCUAAUGAAAAUCUUGAUGACACUGAAUUUGUUGUCAAGGGCACCAAGAUCUUAGAAAGCAUCUAUGAUAAAUGCAAUAUGGCCAUUGCAAACCUUACAAACUAUGCAGAAGCUAAGAACUUAGCUUACUGGCAAGUUGCAAUGAAGAAGGAGCUAAGUAUGAUUCACAAGAACCAAACCUGGUCCCUAGUUGACAAAACAGAUACUAUGUGGUUCUACCAACUAACAAGUUUGGAUCUGAAUCUUUUAAUGACAAGCUACCAUGUGGAGAGAGAGUUGAGCUUGGCCCUUAGUGGGAGACCUAAGUAUUUUGUGAAAUGGUUUCCUAUUUUGCACUUCAUGAUGAUGGCCUAGUUUUCAAUGAGUUGUUCUUCAAUGUUUGGACCCGUUAGAGAACUCUUGAGAAAAUUGAUCUUUAACUUAAAGAUUGCUUGAAAUCCCUUUAGAAUUUUCUUCAUGUUAAUAAUCUGUUGGAGGGUAAACUUGUAGAAAAUAAUUGUGUUAUCUGUGAAUUAGAGAUGGGAAAUCGAUAAUUAGUUACUACCUAUGGAGAAGCUUGAAAAAGUUCAAUGGUAUUGGCUUUGUGGAAUAGGAUGCUUAGAUAUUCUACAAUGAUGUUGAAUAGGAAAGUGGCAUUAGACAACCUUAACUAAGUCAUCUUUUCAUUGUGAAUUGUGAAGUUAGGGCUUCAUUAAUAAGAAUCGUGAUAGUAGCAACCGCAAUUCAGCGAUAGAUCCAACCUCGUGAUAUAAAUACUAAAUCCCAUGAGUUGCAUGAUGAAACCUAGAUAAUGACAAUUAAUGUUGUCAAAAACAUUUUCAAAGUCAUAUUUGAGAAUCAAACCACUUGAGGAAUUCUUCCUUAAAUAGGCAAUGUUAAAUCGUUAGCAAUCAAAGAAUAGUCAAGGAUUUGCUUACCUUUGAUGAAGGUGAAUUGGUUGUGACCUAUGACCGAGCCAAUCACUCUUAGCAAGGAUUUUGUAUGUGCUUCCUAUGAGAUUGAUAGGCUUUGAAUGGGUGAGCGGGAUGACCUAAUACAUUUUGGAAUUUAAGCUAGGAAGGAAGUAUUGAUGAUCUUGUUGAAAGUGCUUGUGGAGAAAAAAUUACUCACGAAGUUAAGAAUGUCGUUUUUGAGGAAAUGUGAAUGUUUAUUGAAAAAGUCCAUAUUAAAACCACCUGACCUCAAGGCUUUGUUUCCGUCGUAGUCAUUGAUGACAACUCGAAUUUCCUCCUUUGUGAAUGAAGAACCAAGAAAUUUGCUUUGAUCAUAAAUGAUCAUAUCUUAAAUGGGAAGUUGAAUUUUUGAAAUUUCAUCGCUGAGGCAUCUAUCUACAAUAGUGUGUAGUUAAAAUUUGGGGGCAAAAUUUAUUUUUAUAAUAACAUUUUAUCUCCAUGAAUCGGUUAGAUUACUUUAAUUGCUCUGAAUCGUAUUUUCUUAUGUUAGCAAAACAUUUUGUUUGAAAAGACUUGGGUUGGAUUCAGCUAUAAUGUUACCAAUGUUGCAUUUAUAUAUCCCCAGUUAUCAAUAUGAUCAUCAAUUACAUUCAAAUGUUGACUUUGACUUCAAUUUUUCUCCUUAUUUAAAGCAUUUAAAUUAAAUUCAAAGUAAUCCUUUAAGCAAUUUCGAUGAGAAUGGACAAAGAUUAAACCGCACCGUAACACUAAGAUGUGGCGAAAUAAAUUUCUUUUUCUUUUUUAUUUUGAUAUUAGAGAUUCGAAACAAACUCAAACGCUCUUCUCGUUCUAACCUCACUUCACUCUUUUGAAAAGUUCAAACCCUAACCUCACCAUUUCUCAACACACAGAUUUCAGUAAAAGAAAAAGAUUUUGGCAAAAGGAGAAGAAUAGAAAAAAAAAGAAAAAAAGCAAAUACCAAUGUUUCAAUGGAAACAAGAUCUGCAAAGCGAAAGAAGUUUUGGUUUGAAGGCGAUAAUGGGAUUGACAGGAUCAGUGAUCUCCCUGAUGUUGUUCUCCAUCAGAUUCUUUUCUUUCUUCCUAUCAAAACCAUAGCACAAACCAGUGUCUUAUCAAAAAGAUGGAGAUCAUUAUGGUCUUCUUUCCCUGACCUUGACUUCACGUCCAUUGACCCAACUGGAGUUUCUUCAACAAAUAUCAAGCCAAGUAAUGAGAAAAGAUCAUCGUUGCAUUCUUUGUCUGCUAAACGAAUGGACUUCAUUAGCCAGGUAUUAGCUCUCCGCGACAAGCAUUCCGAUCUAAGGAUCCUUCGUUUCCGUGCUCCUUUGAGUUUUUCACGUUUAAAUGGCUUGAUCCGUCGUGCCAUAAGGCAAAAUGUGCAGGAAUUAGACGUUGAGGUGGCUACGGAUGAUUAUUUUAAUUUUCCCCGAAGUGUUAUUACAAGUGAAUCAUUGCGGGUUUUCAAGUUGAGAUCUCGUUAUCCUGGUUUCAGGUUACCUCCUCCACCGAUUAUGAAAGGUGGUUUCCGCUCACUCCAAACCUUAUCUCUCUCCCUUGUCAUUUUAUACAGCCAGCCCUCGCUUUCGGAUUUGUUUACGGAUUCGUCAUUCCCUCGCCUCAAGAAAUUGAAUCUCGAUGCUUGUUUUGGGUUGAAACAUCUUAAGGUUAGUUGCUUGCUGCUCGAAGAUUUGACCCUGGAAAAUUGUUUCCAGUUACAUGCCUUGGAUGUUUCCGGAGCCAAAUUAAAGAGAUUGCGAGUUGCAAGCUGUUUUGAUGCUUAUUGUGAUAAGAGUUGGGUGAAGAUUAAUGCUCCAAGCCUCAGAAAUAUGGUUUGGGAAUAUAAUGCCAUCACGGAAACUAGGUCUUUAGAGAAUUUGACUUCGGUGCAUGAAGUCUCCAUUGGUUUCUUUCUACUUCAUGAAGAUGUAAGCGUGGCAAAGCUUCAGAGUGUAUCUAAUCUUUUAUCAGGACUGUCGCAGGUCCAUUGCCUAACACUUGAAAGCCAAUGCGUUGAGGUACUCAUUUUUUUUCUUUCUUUUUGCAUGGUGACGCCACGAGUAGUUAAUGGAAUUUAUUACUCUGUUCAUCCAAUAAAUAAUGUUUAGUUAUAUCUCGUUAUUGAAAUGUUUGGGAAUAUAAUUCCCCAAUUGACCUCCCAUGAGCAAUAUUGGAAGUGAAUUUUGGGUUUAGUUUCACUAGAUAAUUGGAUAAUAGCAAACAUUUUCUCCUAAGAUUAUAAUGGUGAUGACAAAUCUUCCUCUAAAAUGUUAACUAUUGAGCUGAUUAUGCAUCCAUUUAACAUGAAAUGUUUUUUGGAACAACGAUUAUUUGCAAUAUUAUAUUUACCUAAAAGCAGUCCACGAACCCUUCUAAAAUCACUAGUGAAAAUUUGUCCUUCCUUUUGUUUUGUUUUGUUUUUGGUUGAGUACAAGUUUCCUUUGUUUAACCUUCAACACUCUGCCUUCAUAUUUUUUCUCUCGGUGUGUAAACCAUGACCUCGAGCUUGUCAAUUUAGCAGAUCUUAUCAAGCAAGAACUAUAUAUCAAAUGUAAUGCAUCCAUUCAACAAUCUCAAAUCUCUGGAGUUGCACACUGGCUUCAACAAACAUAACGUCCCCGGAUUGGCUUAUCUAUUCAAGAGCUCUCCCACAUUACACACCCUAAUUCUCAGGAUCGUCAAUGAUUACAAGAUUGAAAGAAGAGUAAGUGCCAUUAAAUUACUUUCACCUUUUUUUUCAUUUAUGUUAUAUAUAAGCUGAAUAAUUCAUGUUAAUUAAUUAAUUUGCCUGGUUAUUUCACCUUUUUUAUUUCUUUUGACUUAUUUUCAGAAAUGGAAUAAGGACUUAUGGGACAUGCCUACCUCAGAGGAAGAACAAUUUUGGGAAUCUCAAACCCAGACAUUAAAAUCCUUCCUAAACCACCUUAGUGUAGUAAAGAUACAUGGAUUCUUAGAAUGUGAGAAUGAAGUUAGUCUAGCAAAGUUCUUAUUGAAGCAUGGGAAGGCCUUGCAAGAAAUGACUCUUUCCUCAGGACACUGCAACUACAGAGAUUCUCUACGAAGACAAAAGAUAAGGUCACAGAUGAUGGGAUUUUCCAGGGCCUCUUCUAAUGCUAAGAUUGCAUUUCUCUAAUCUUAUCGCAAAGCCAAAAGUCCUGAAGUGAUGAUCAUUGUUUUAAUCAAUCCGGAUGCUUGAUGUAGAUUUGCAGCAUCAAUAGGCAUUAGGAAACUUUAUGUAGUGACUUCUGCUAGCUAGCAACCAGUUUUUCCCAGAAAUGGCCAGGUUACAUCAGCGAUGUAGUAUGAGACGUGGUACCAUAUUAGUAAUUCGCAAAGCUUCCAUGUUUCGCAACUCAUCGAUAAAGCACAUUCAAAGGUUCUGUUUCUAUCGCAUUGUGUGUACUCCUUAGCAAAUUUCUCAGAUUCGUGGAUUGGAUUGCCAAAAUUUCAUGUCUUUUACGGACAGAUGAAAGAAAAGGCUGAAAAACAGAUUCCUGACUGAUUGUCAUGGGACUGAACAACUGCUGUUGAAUAAUACUCAGUGGAGCUCGCAAGCCUACUUGCAUAAAAUGUUGUGUAAUGCUAGUGCUCAAGAAGACAGCUUUUUCUAUUGGACCACAACGGGUGUCAAGAAUUAAUUUAAUUUACAAGUUCACCUGCACAACCAUGGUUGACAGUUCUAAUUCACAAGGGGCCAUGUGGGGCCUUGUUAUUUGCUUGGAAUCAAGCAAUGUGGUUGUAAUGUUAAGCUCUUGUGUGCAUAUCUGGAACCUGUUUUCAUAUUCCACACACUGCUGGUAACUCGAGAAACUGACAUGUUCCGUAUUCAACAUCAAUUUUUUUUUUCUUGGGCUCAUAUUCAACAUGCAAAUUAGACAUUUUUUAACCCCACAAAAAAAAAGGCAAAUUAAUUAGGCUUAAUUAUGUUCAGAAUGCCAGUCUAAGUUAUGAUAUGGUAGUUUUGUAAGGGUUUAACUGGUGUAAUUUUGAUACUCGAUUUCUGAAAAAUACAUUAUUUAGGACACUAUUUUAUCCAUAUGUUAGUCUAAGUUGGUUUGGACAUAAUAUAUACUUAACUACUUAGUUAAUAUAAACUAGUUUUUAUAAACAAAAAAUGAGUUUUUGGACAUGCAUGCUAUGCUCAAUUAAGAUCUUAUGUACUAUAAUAAGUUUCAGUUGCAAUCUUAAGAUUUGUUUAAUCAUUUCUAAUCUAAAACUCUAAAAAUGUACUUAAAAAUUUAGGCUUAAUUAAAUUAAUAUGCCAUUUUAUCAUUUAACCUCACUGUUUCUCCUAAUUUCUUAAAAAAAUUAGGCUUAAAAGAAGUUAAAAGCCCUAAAUCUAAAUUCUGAGAGGGAAAAUUACAAUCCAAUGGACUUUUUGUAACAGUUUCACCUUUCACUGCAAGGUAAUUAGUUGUAAGAACUCAUGAAAAGAUUCCACCUGGAUGUUUAUGGACUAUAUAUGGUCUAUUGUUACUUUAGAGGGCUUUUUCUCCAGGAUUGGGCGAAGAAAUACUAUAUCUACUGUAUGAUCCUAUAUCGUAAUAGGGUAUACAGUAUUGCAAAAUUCUUUGUAUUUUAGGAGGAUUUUGCAAAGAGAAUUUAGCAUUUUAAGAAGCUUCUCUUAAGGUUAAAAAAGCAAGUGAAGGCAUAAAAUUUGCAGUUUCUCUUACUUUUCUAACCUCAAUAUAGAAAGACUUGCUGCGUUAAACUGUGCGACAACCGUCUUAAUUUUCUUUUGCCAACUUAUCUGCAGAACAGCCCAUGUUUGAAGACAUCGAUGGAGGAAAAAAACAAAAGAAAAACGAGCACUACAAAAACUAGACAAAGAAGCAGAUUUCCAUGAAAGAAGACGUGAAAUUGUAAAAGUUCAACCCAGUCACAUUAACUUUGAAGUGAAAACGGUCUCUCCCAUUUUCAACACAGGAAAGUUGCUCCAUCUCCUCCGGGCUGAAGUGCCCCUGAAACUUGCAACAUAAAAGCUCCUGUCAUUUUCUCACUGCUUGAACUUUGUUCAAUUUUGACUGCACCAUUGCUUGUGACCCGGAGUCCAUCUAGGACAUUUUGGACUGAAGUAACUUGAAAUGACCCUUGAAUUCAGAAGCUCGAUUAUAGGAACAUAUUUGACGCACCUUGGUGUCUUGUACUGGUUUAUGGAUGCACCCUGGCUAAGAGCAAAGUCCAUCAGCUUGUCAAAUGUCCCAUUCUCCACAAUCUUUAUCUCCAGAGGGCCAAUGGACUUGUCCCAAACUCGACCUUGGCGGUACACGCUGUUGAGUGAUUCUUCAACUGUGAAGCAACAAUCCUCAAAAACUGAUGCAGGAAUUAAAGUGGCAUCAUUAACACUGAUUUCCCAGUACAGCACAUAGUGGCCAGGGAUUGCUGAUGUGUCUGCAUAACUGGUGUAUUCUAUUAGAGAUGCAUCAAAUGGCAAAAGUUGGUUUGCUGCGUUUUUCACUGCAUGUUGCAGUUCCACUUCAUCGGUUUUAUCAGAAUCAAUGCUAAGAACAACAUUUUUCCUGCAUAUAAAGUUGAAUUGUGGGGCGUUGUUCUUGAAUCCAGCUACACGAAGAAUGUCCCCAACUCGAUAUCGAUAAAGACCUGCAACAUAAAGGCUUUCCCUUUCAGGAAGGAAAAUAUAAAUAAAAACAUAAUGCAUUUUAAUCAAAAUAUCUUCGCGGCCAGAAUGGUGGCGGAUCAUCAUUUGAGAGAUGAAUCAAAUGACCAGAUUGGUGAGAAUAGAGUACUAGCUACUAGAAUUUCUGCUUGAUUUUCUUUACCUGCAUAUGUAGUGACAACAAGCUCGUAGUCUUGUCCCAGUUUGACACUGACAAGAUCGACCAAUUCUUGUUUUUCUUUGUCAUUCAGAGAUGCGGGUUCAGAGUUGGAACCAGUUAACCCUUUUUGCCCGUUCACUGGCAAGAACUCAAAAUAAGCCAUGGUGGGAAUAAGGGUGUAGGAUACCUCACUAGGCUUGCAUAAAGGGUUGAGAUUAAUUCCGAAAUAACACUCGGAAGAAGCAUACAUGGUGCACACCAGCGGGAGGCCAUUGCUAUAAUAAUCUAGUGUAGGAAUGUACUGAGACAUGGUUCCAGUAACAAUAACAUCUAUAUAUUUAGUGUUUGGCCACAGCCUAGUUAUGAUCCCUUUCCAUGACCCUUUGCUACAUUCUGCCUCAAUAAAAUCAGCAAGCUUGGAGUUUGGUUUGAGGAUUUUCAAGACAGCUUCUCUUACAGAUGCAUCAGUGAUUUUAGAGUGUAUAUUUCCUGACCGAAUAUCUCUACAAAGAAGACUCCAAUGUUUUUCAAGGAACUGGAUUGCUCGAAUGAAACCUGAAGCAAAAACUGCACCAACGCGAAGAACUUCUUUGUUUUGGCAAAGGCCACAGAGCAACUGAGCGUACAUGCUCUGGUAAGAAUUUACGCAGAGAAUUGUUUCAUUUGGGCUUGUAUAGUUGGUGUAGGGAUCAUAAGGCCUGUCCUUAAAAUGUAAGCUUUUGUAGUAGCUGGUUAAGACAGGACGAGCCACGAGUCCUCCCGGGGUCUUAGCUUCUGAUUUUAUAAACAAAAAGUACAUCCCCUUCCCUUUGUCCAAACCUGGAACAAAUUGGUUCAUUACAGGCAUCAGCAGGCUAUAAAGCAGCGAUCUCCUGUCCAGCUCCUCUUCUAUCGUUGGCAUCAACUUCCUCUCUCCAGCAGAUGUACCAGAGCUACACAUUAAACAAUCCCAUGCAACAUGAUCAUCUCCAAAAAACAGAGAUAAUUUGAAGAAAAAACAAUGAAAUUACCUCCUUACACACACACACACACACACACACACACACACACAUCAUGGACUCACCUUGUCAAGAACUCUGAUAUGGGUUGGGAGCAGAGAAUUGGUGAGGUAUCACCAUUCGCAAUACGCUCAAUAUCUGGCUUUAAAUCUUCGUAAGAGACAACGGGUAUCACCUUCUUGAAUGUUUCUCUAUCUGUACAGCCAUUGAGGCCAUUUCUUUGCAAGUACUCGGCAUUGGCGCUACGAGAGAGAAUUUCAGAUAGAACUCGCUUUUGCACUUCAUCAGCAUCCCUAGUAACAUCUUCAAUAAACUUCAAUGCCUUGUUAUUAUUUUCCACGAUGAUGCCACCAACCCCAUCAAUGCAAUCCGCAUAUUGGGAUAAGAUUUUGGGAGCUUCUGGCAUGGCUUUGACAGAGAAGAAAGUAAUAGUAAUAUUGGUAAGACUUCAGAAGGGGAAUGAUGAAGAACAAUAAUACCAAUAUUGAAAUUCUAAUUUUGUGUAGCAAAUGAAGUGAAAUGGAGGAGAUAUAUAUAGGGCAAAAAGAAGAUAGGUGCAACCCACCUAUGCAAACAAAAAGUUUGAAUCGAACACGAAGGCACUUAACAAAAAAAAGGGGGGGGGGGGGCAAAAUCGUGAAUGAAUAGUAAUUAUUUUUUAAUAAUACAAAAAUCAAAUUUGACUUUUCUACGUUACCAAGGAAUAUUUUAGGCGUGGGAAAGCUAAUCUUGUAUUAUUACUCAAUUAUGUGCCUAGGACUACCAGGAAACAGUAUGGAAGGGUUCUGCUUUCAAUGAUGGGAAACCGUGAAAGGAGGUGAUAGGACGGGCAAUCUUCGGUAAACUCGUUGUUUCAAGUACAAAAUUUGGGUAGUGGGAAAAGUAAACCGGGUACAUGCGUGCAUGUACUACGGGUGUUGUUCAAAAAACCAGCAGCGCCCUCCAGCUUCCGCUUCAAGUAAUCUUACGGGAAUCCCUCCACGCAGACACUUGAAUAUUAAGUAUGUGAAAGGAUUUAUUAUACCCCUUGAAAGAUAAUCAAAAUUUUAACAACACAAUAAGCUAUAUUAAUUAAAUAAUUAUACCAUUUAUUCUUUUUUACUUCACAAACGCGAAUCUUGUUACUAUCAAAUUUUGAAUUCAAAAUUUUCAAGAUGGAUGUUCAUAUUCUAAUUGUGAAUUUAUUCUCUUGGGAUAAAUCGGUUUCAUUUAAUAAAUACAUAAUUAAUCUAAUAACUAUGGAACCUAUUUGAUAUUGAAUUUUCAAACAAAGUAUAAUUGAAUGUGCGUUUGCUAUAUAGUCUUUGAUAAUGCGUAUCUUAACUUGAUGCUAAUGGCAGUUUUAGGUCAAUAUGGAGUUGCAUUUUAGCAAACAAUUGAGAAUUGACAGAAGAAAGUAAAAAACAAACAAAACAAAAAAGAAAGGGCUGUGGCGUAAAGCUCAAGAUGCACAGCUUGGUGUUGAAACAUGUGUGGUGGAGUUGCUUGCUGCCUAACUAGCUAGCUGAUUAUGAGGCUAUAACGCGUAUGAAAGCAGGAAUUUUUUUUUAUUUUGAAGGAAAGAUAUCUUAUAACAUAAUGACCACAAAAGUUUUAAUCAAAAUGCACCACAAAGUAAGAUGUUACGAUGCAAACUUUAUGGUGAUGAUUGAUGAUGAUGAUCUUAAUUAAACAGCCGCCGUCCAAUUUGCAUUCUCACUCAAUUAUGUACAGGUAAUGGUCAUAUUCCUUUUCAGAGAAAAAAGCUAAUGCUCAUAUUCUUUCAUAUGAACUGUUCCUAUCCAUUGUUACUUUAAUUGGGGGAUUGCGUACUUAGAGAAAUCAAAGAUAUGCAGAUCAUGAUUUCAUCAACUAAUGUAGGAAGUAAGGUCACAAUACUAGAUGUCUAUACAUAAAAUAUUUAUAUAUAGGUGAUAGGAUUUGUGAGGCAGGAAUCAAAUUAUUAAUUUUGUACUGUUCAGUACAGUUCAAAGACUAUGGAAUUGCUUGCACGCUUCUUUCUUAACCAUUUUUUUUAUGUUUUAUUACUACUAUAUAUGAGCUUAUAUAAUGAUUGAAGGAAAACUUCAAUCAUCCAUUGAAACGAAUUAUGUACUAAAUACUUUUCAGCUCAAGGUUGUUAAUAUUCCAUCCGAAUGUUUGAUUUGCUGAGAUAUUUGAAGAAAAUAUAAUUGAAAUGAAGGAUAUAUAUGUAUGUAUGUAUGUAUGUAUGUAUAUCUUGAAAGUAAGGAAUAAAAGAAGAAAAUCAUCCCCAUUCACCAAUUAUUAUUAUUUUUCUUUUUCUCAUAAAAGAGUGGACAAAUUAAUCUACUAAAACACUGUGAAAACAAGUUUAGCGGAGAGAUUGAUUAAUGUUGGUGGGGAACAAAAUACUGCCAUAUUCCACAACAAUAACACCAUAUUUGUUAGAUUUUCUUGUAAAAUUAAUUAAAAUGUGAAUUUACUUUAUUUAUUUUUGUAUUUUAUCAAAAUCAGGUCAAGUUAUUCUUGAUAAAGAGACAAUUAUAUUACAUAAUAUGAUCUAUUAAAGUAAGUUAGAUUCCAAUGUUAUAUGCAGGUUUAAAAGUGUAAGUUUAAGUAAAAAAAAACUUAAAUUUUAUAACAGGUGAGAUUAAGUAUUCAUUAUGUAAAAGGUAAGAUUAGAUCACCUAUCUUGUCUAUAACAAUAUUACAAUCUCACCUAUUAAAGAUUUAGGUAAAAAAAAAAAAUCUGAUGCACUGAAUACUAACAGGUCGAUAUUAUUUUCAUUGUAAAAUAAUGUAUCAUCUAUGUUUUUAUAUUCUAAAUUCUUAUUAUGGUUAAUUGUGGAUUAGUAUAAAUUUAUUAUAAAUAAAGUUUAAUAAUAUUUUUUAAAUUCUCUUAAAGUUAUUUUAUUCAUUUAGAUCUAAAACCUUAAGAAAGCAAGCAGGAGUAAUGGAGCGAUGGGAAUAACGGUGAUGAUUUAGAGUCAUUAUCACAGGAAAACAUGUAUGGAUCGAUCAGAUCAGAGAGUGACAAUGGAAAGCAAGACUUGUGGUCCCAUACCGCCCUCGUCUCCGGCUGUCUGCGUCUGCCUCUGUCACAGUCGCUUUCACAUCCACGUGUUACGAGUCCGUUGGUUGUCCCAGCAGCCUAUCUGCCUAUGUUUGUCAACAGUCAACCCAGGAGACAAGAGAGCGUUGCUUGAACAGGAGAAAUACGCAGGUGAAAGCGCCACCCACCGAGGCGGGGUUUGCCUUGUGCUUGCUGAGGUACCGAGAUUAUAUCUACAUUUUUACGGGGAAUGUUUAUAUCAGGUCAUUGGCCCUCUCUAUCCUUUUUCUUUGGCUUUAUUACACGCCUUUUGAACAUUGACUCUCACAAUUUUCUAUCUUUCUAGCAAAGAAUUACUAGUAAUUAAGCAGACCAUUAUCCAUAUUAAUUAGUUCCAACAGUUACUGCUUUUCCUUACCAAUAAUACUUAGAAUUCUUUUUGGAACAAAAAAUCUUGCGCACUUGAAGUUAAGGCAACAAUGCAAAUAUAUGGAUAAUUUUCUGGGUAUGAUUCUACGAGUACUUUUUUAAGACAAAACAGAAUUUUCUAAGCACUUAACAGGUGACGUGUAAACUGAUGCAUGGUCACGGGCUGGCAUUCUUAAGCACCUUGACAUAAAAAAAGUGGCCUUUUUCAGCUAGCCUCAGAUUAUUGAUGACAAGCCCAAAGAAAGUGUUACAGCUUAGAAAUCAUUUUUACUGAGAAAAACAAUUAAACAAAAGGCCAUGCACUUUGCUUAGAUGCUUCAAAAUAUAUGGCCAAAGAAAAUAUAUACGCCUUGUUUUGGCUAAACAGCUUUUCAAGUCAUUGAGAAUCCGGUCAAAACACUUUUUCUUCCCACUUCAGCUGAUAGCUUGGAAAGUGAUGUGACUAUAAUGGCCAAAUUAAAAGUUGAUUCAGUUGUGAAAAUCAGGGACUUUCCACGAAGCUUCAAUUAAAUUAUGCAUGACCAACCUCCUCUGCCUUGUGUCAAGUAGUAAGCUGAAGAACUUGAGUCUGGUUCAAUAUUUUUGUUUUGACCAGUCACUUGCAAAUUUCGUUGAUGUACGUGGGAAUUAGGAUGACUUUUGGUUUAGGUUUCUUAUUGUUCAUGGAGUUGUGCUGCCAAUCCUUUUGUGGGCAGCUUUUACAGGAUGCAAAUGUACAGUCUUCACUCAGUGAAGACAACUGUUAUGCCAUCAAGAGUCGUCAGGCAAUGAAAGACUUAAAACUUGAAGUGGUUGGUUGAAUGGCAGGAUCAAUAAAAUACCAUCUUUCAAAAAAAAAAAAUCAUGCCUGACAAAAAAACGACAUCAAUCAUAUCCAGAUCACUGCACUCGAUCCAUGCCCAUAUACGUAUCGGCAAAUAUUUUAUACUGUGAUAAUUCCUGCAAGGAUUGCAGCUUUUGUAGUAUCGAUUCCUUCUUUAGCCUAUUAAUGUACAAUAGAGAUGAUAUAUAUUUAUUGAAACAUCAUCUUGGACCCUUCGUCGAUUAGCAGUGAAACCAUUUUAAUUAGAAUAAGAUUAUCAAUGUCUGUUUAACCUGAUUCACUGCAACGCCAGUAGGGAGGACUUAUAGUAUUAGUUUUAGUUAAUCAAUAUGUCGGAAAUUAAACUGCUGGGAUACGGGUGCAUGCAUUUUCACCUCUAGCUACUUGCGCAAUGUGAACGCACAGGCUUACGGCAGAGGACAUGUAUGAUUACAUGCAGUGGUAGAGUUAAGAUUUUAAGUUUGAGGAGUGAAAAUAAAAAUUUUAAUAUUUGAGAGGAUGAAAUUAUAAAAUUUUUAAAAAAUAAAGGAAAAUUUUUAAAAUAAAAAAAAUAUAAAUUUCGAAAAUUUUGAGAGAGAUAGGUGCCACAGGCUUGGAACUUUAGUUAAAUUUCGUGCAGCGUUAUAGUCUCAUGUUUGUAAGACUAAGCAAGCCUAAACGAGGUUUCUUGAUGAACGACAUGGAAACGUAAAGUGAACAUACAUGAAAAAAGAGAUUGGCGAAAAUAAAUAAGCAUUAUUGGUCCAAUGAGAGAUAAACAAAGUACCUAAGAUAUAAGUACAAAAUCGAUUGCUUGAUUCGGCAAACUUGAUUAGAUUGCUUUACAAUGACUCUGCUAUUUAUAAUAGCUUACUUAACCUAAACUUGGUAUGCAAGUAAAAGUAAAUAUGGAAGUAUCUAACCUAAACUUCCUUGAAGUACAAGAAAAAUAAAAUCUUAAAACUAUACCUUCUUGAUGAGCAAGUAAUCAACAAGGAAGACUUUAUUUUUAGAAAGUAUGCUAAUUGCCCUAGAAUACUUUGCUUGGCUGCCAAGGCGACAGCUAAUAGACCCCUACGUGUGGACUAGCUCAGCUGUCCAUACGAAGCUGAACUAGUCAUGGAUCUAUGUACCAUGGCACAAGGGCCCCUAUUAGAUCCCCAUCCCUCCUCCUCUAAUUACAUGCACUUAUGCUAAAAGUUGAUCAUUGAAAAGCGUUAAAUUUGCCCCAUCCCAACUACUAAGUGCUGGCGUAUUUCAAAAUAAAAAAUUGUCUCUUCAAAUGAAAAAUUAUCUUAAUUCAAAGUUUAUAUCACAUAGUGUGACAUAGUGUAAUUAUUGGAUUAUAUGUGAUUUUUUAUUUAAAUAGUUAUGUCUCUUGGUAAAGUGACAUGUGAGAAAAACACAUCUAAAUUCAAAAGUUACGAGACAAUUGAAAAACACUGCAACUUAAAAAUUUGGAUAUGAAAAAUUAUCUUUUCAUAUUGUAACUCAAAGAUUGUAUCUUAUAAAAUAAAAAUUUUGUUCUUUUAUAAAGUGAUUAUAGAAAUAAUACUUUUAUCCAACGAUUGUGUCUUGUAAAAUGUAGAGGUAUUUAUAAGAUAAAGAUGUGUCUUAAUGAAAGAGUUGUGUCACACUUGUAAGUUUAUAUAAAGGAUUUGCUGCCAAUCAUUUAAAAACACCAAAAACAAAUAAAACAAGAGCAAAAAAAUCAAGAGUAAGAGAAAUGUUAUAUUUUGAAAAUAAACAUAAACCCUUGAGUUAUAAUCAAUUAUUAAAAAAGCUCAAAUCCCUUAUAAUUUACUUGCUAUAAAAAGUAAACUAUAAAUUCAAACAACUUUACAAACUUUUAGAUAUAUCUAGUAGUUUACUCUUAUUAAGUGUAAGACGAAUUUAGACAUUAAUUUCAUUAUAUCCUUAAGGCUACUUGUAUAAUUCUCUUUUGUAUAUGAAAUAGUGAGGACGAAAUAAAUCUUAAAAAUAACAUCUAUUUAAAUACACAGCUUAAAGUCAAUUUUACACUUCAUUUGCACAAACACUAAAUACAAAUUUUGUGCCAACUUUCCAGACAAGGCAAUCCAUGAAAGAGUUGGAAUUGAAUCUGCAAUUUUUUGUUGGAUUAUUAUUGAUACUGAUACGAAGUGAAAUCUAAGUCACGGUUACGCUUUAACAACACAAUCUGGAAACUCCACCAUCUAAAGAGAUGGUGGCGGAUCAAGCUCUUCGGAAAACCAAUGCUCCGGUUUGCUGUAACAUUUUGGGCAUGUGUUAUCCAUAUGGCAAAGCUAGCCAUGUGGAUUGAUGAAAUCCUUGACUUCCUCGUCCUGAACUUUCUUUUCUUAUCAGGAUAUAAUAAAUGACUCUGUCAGUUGCCUGCAUUUUUUCUUGCUUUUACUUUAGUUGGACAGUGAUCUUUUAACCUAUGCUGAAAAUUGAGAACCUCUUUAGGGUCCAUUGUAUCUUUACGCCUCGAUAUGUUUUAUUGUGGGUGUUGGGUACCUGUCCAUAUCUUCCAACUGUUACUAAACUCUUGUCUGUCAACUGCAAUAGCAUUAUUAGGCCACCAUUGGUGUAUUUUUUGCAUUGUAAUCGAUAAUUUCACUUUAAAGAAGAAUCCAGGUAACUUAUUUAUAUGCAUAUGCAUGCCGGACAUUGAGGACUACCAAGGAGAUUACCCGUCAUGGUGAUAGUUCGGAAUGUCUGGUUGAAUUUGGCUACUAUCUCUCAAAAGCUAAUCGAUAAGCUAUGAAGGCUUUACAAUAAAGCACACACAAGAGCUAUAGGAAAAAGUGGGUUGCAAUUGCAUUUUAUCAGAAACCAAGCUUUUGAAUUUACAAAAUUCAUUAUUGGCUAGCUCAUGAAACCGGUAACACAUAGAAAUUAAUUACACUAUCGUUCCAAACCACACAAAGUGUUUAGCCUAGGUAAAUAAUCUCUGUUUAUAUUCGUAAUUUACAGCUAGCAGCUUGCUAAUAUGAGAGAUUUUGGAUGGAAUAUCUACAAGUACGAAAUAAAAAUAUAUAUAUAUACUGUUAUUCAAGCUAACCAAACUCUUUCUAAUAUGGAGAACUAUUUUACAAUGUCACUUUACUUUAUCCUUCAGGUACGUUUUUGAAAUUUAUAAUAUUUCUACAAAUUAAUGGUACCAUUUAUGUUGUAGCAAUAAUUAUUAGAACCGGAUGAACCAAUAUUGGUUGGAUGGGUGAUCCAUUCAUGCUGCUCGAUUUAUAUAUUAUAUCAAGAAAGUAAAUGAUCCUAUCAAAUUUGGUUAAAUUAUAUUCAUCGAUUUUUUUUAAUUUUUACAUUAACCCAAUACUGAUAAAAAUGGUUAAAACGAUUUUGAUCCCCUUUAAUUCAUAUUUAAAAAGUUAUAUUGAAUCAAAUUAAAGCUAAGUUAAGUAUUAUAUAUGUAUUUCAUUAAACAUUUGUUAUUAUUUAAACAUAAAACUAUAUAUUUUACAUAAAAAUAUAUUUAAAUAAAAAAAUUAAGCAUUGAUGCAAAGUUGAACUUUUGAUUGCGAGGGUCUCCCGACCAUUCCUGCAAGAGGAGACUGGGGGCAAUUAUCAAAAGGUAUAUUGUGGGGGGUCAUAAAAUGUUACAUAUAUAUUUAGAGAAACAAGAUUCCAGUAAGCUGCUAGGACGUUGGGUAGGGAUAACACUUAUCCAAAUUUCAUAUGGUAUGACAAGAUAGAUCAAAAAAAGUAUGCAGAGCUCGAUCAUUGACUUACUUUAUCGUUUUUAAUAAGAAAACCAGAAAUUAACCCUAUCCGAGGAUAAGUGCUAAAGCUAAUUAUGCUGAGCUGAAAUUCUUCUGAUAACAGCAUCAUUCUGGCAACUUUUAUAUUCCAACUUGAAAAUUCCUUAAGAACUGUUAGUGAUUUGGACAAAGAACUUCAUGGACGAUCCAAAAGCAUAAUAGCUUGAGACGUACCUUUCUCGCUGUCUUUUCAUGCAAGCAAUUCGGCUAGCAUAUAGAACCUUGUAGCUAGCCAACAACAGCUUGACCUAUGUCACUAACUUUUAGAAGAUAAUCGUAGACAUGAGGAAGAGACACGUACAUUACCUACCCCAUUUUUUGUGCCUUUUUGCAUGUUAUUUUCCACAACGAUAGAUAGAUAUGGGACAGGCAAAGAGUCCAGCAAAGGUGGGGAGCACAUUAAUAGAGGAGUUGAGAAUGUAAACGUAACCUCACAGCUUAUAACAAUGGUCUUUACAUUAAUGGAGAUUUAUGGAUGACCCAAGCUUCCAAUAGAAAUAGUAGGAAGAUAAUUAUGAGGACCAUACUUGUAUGUACGUUUCAUUUCACUGUCCAGACGGCGAUCUAAUAUGUGUAAAUAUGGGUGAGCGUACUCACAAAUUAGAAUAAAAAAAAAUGAUCGUGAUCAAUUUGGAUGGAGAUUUUUAGAAUUCAAAACAUUGUACAUAUAUUUUCCUUGCUAUCAAGGGGACAAAAAAAAAAGAGAAGAAACUGGAAAUGCACAACGCCCCAGGCCCAGAGGGCCUAAGAGGAGAAGAUCUCUGGAAAAUUGAAGGUCAGGGUUUUUGAGGAAAUGGGUCCAUAUAUAUGGAUGUCACACAAAUCUAGAAAGAGAGGUGAUCAAGCAUCAUGCCUGCUUGAUAUUGAUCCUCAUCAGGAGAAAUAAAGGGGAAGGCAUCAUUAUGUUUAGUGCCUUUUUGUCCCCUGCUCAGAGACCAAGAAUUUUAAUUUGAUGCAUUGUCUUUAUUAAAGUCAUGUGUGUCACAACCUUCUCUUUUCCCUUACUGUUCAGACAAUAUUAUCCACAGAAGAUAUGUAUACUGCACAUUUGGAGAAAUUAGAGAGAAGAGAAUAGUUACAUGCAUUGUCGAUCGCCUCAAUCGUGUGAAUUUUAUAGAAGCCAAGUAUUUAAGCAAAUGUUAGUGAAGACGAAUGGCAGGCAAACUUCAUGAUUAAGGAGGUAUAACCUGACAAAAAAGUGCUGUUUCGACGCAUUCUGUUUAAGAACAGAUGAUGGCAAUUGGCAAUAAUUAAGUUGAAAGGAGCAUACGAAUAAUAUCCGUCCAUCCUUGAUUGGAUUUCCAUGGGAACAUUAUUUGAUCUGACAUUCCAAAUCUUGCAGAAAACCAAUCAAGAGUCCCGUUUGUGAAUGAGCACAUUCUAUUUUUUCUUUUCCUAAGGAGCACAUUUAUGAGGCCAGAUCGUUUUCUUCAUGACUCCCUCCAGCCGCGCCCCCAGAUGCUUUACUAUGGCUAACGAUUAGAGCUUGGUUUGGGCUAAUGCAUCAUACAUUACAAGCCCAACGGGAUGCACAAGGCUUCUCACUAGGUCUUGAACUAUUUUCCUUUUCUUUUAUUAACCGAGAGGCCUCAAACUGAUAAACGAUAGGUAAAAGGUGACAAUUGUAUAUAUUGAGUCGGGUCAUUUCGAAUAGAAAAAAAUUCAGAUUAUUUUUUGCUUUGAGUGAUUUUGGGUUCCAAUCAUUUGAAUUUGAUAUUCAGGUUCUUUAUACCUUUUCCAUUUUUUAUUUAAGUGUUUGUUUGAUUUAACUUUUUUCAACUUAUCUAUCUUUCAAAAGCAAAGAUCAAGUUAAAUAGGAAUUUUGAUAAAUUCUUAAAAAAAUAACUUUUUUAAAAAACAAAAUUUAAAAAAUAAAGAGUUUCAGUAAUGCAUUUUGUCAAAAAUGAAAAAUUUAAUUAGUAACGGUUGAACCAUUAUCAAUGAAAAAUUUUGUUAUCUUUAUUGAGGAAAGUUUUCAUUGAUAUUGGGAAAGAUUUUGUCAAAAAUGAAUCGAAUAUUUUGGAUAUUAUUAAUAUAAAAAAUACAUCAAAAGUUCAUCGAAAAUGUUGUAUUUUACGUCCAAAAUUUUGUUUAUAAUGUGCUAUAAUUCUAACCUGAUAGACUAGUUUUGUAAUAAUCCAUCAACCAUAAUGUUAAAUUUUAACGAUAUAUCUAAGAAAUCACAACUAAAGAAAUAAUUAUUCUUAAGCAAAAUAAAUGAUCGAAAUUCAAAUUGGUCCAAUUAUUAUAAAACUACUAGCACACAAAGUAUCCAAUAUUUAAAUCCUGAAGUUAGAAAAAUUUAAAUCUUAAUUAAAUAUUCAAAUAGUAGAUGAAAAUCUUCGAAUGUAAGUGUAUCAAAAUAAAGAAAAUGAGUCGAAGAUCCAAGGCAAAUAUUGAUACCCAUGUCACAGGGUCGGCCCUUGGGUGAAGUCACCCAAGCAAGGACUUUAGGCCUUCAAUUUGGAGAGAUCCUAAAUUCGAGGAAGUUUUAUAAUUUUAUAAUAAUUAUAAUUAUAUUAAUUAUAUUAAUUAUAUUAAAAAUAUAUAAAAUUAAAAAAAUAUAAAAGUAAAAAAUAAUUAAUAAAAUUAUUUAUUCACUCACUUCUCUAAUUAUGUAUCUAAUAAAUCUCAAUUUUCUAUCGUUUCUUAAUUUCUAAAAUGCUAUUUAUUCUCAAUUAUAUUCUUUUAUUUUUAAUCAACAAACGGUCAUAUCUAUUUAAUCAUCUCCAACUGUUUUUUUUUCUCACUUAUUUCUUCUAUUUCCAAUCAACGUAUUGAAUGAUUUCCAAUAGCUAUCUUUUCCUAUAUAUAAAACCUAUUAUUUUUUUCUCACUUAUUUCUUCUAUUUCCAAUCAAAGUAUUUAAUGAUUUCCAACAGUUUUUUUUUCCUAUAUAUAAAACCAAUUUUUUUUCUCACUUAUUUCUCAUAUUUCCAAUCAACGUAUUAAUGAUUUUCAAUAGUUUUUUUUUUCUUAUAUGUAAAACCAAUUAUUUUUUUUAAAUGUAUUUUUUUCAAAGCUAUUUUUUUUUUCAAUUUAUAAUAUCUGCUUUUGAAUUCUUCUUUUCUCAUUUGCUCUUUCUUCCUUUAAUUUCAAUUUUCCUUCAAAGAAUACACAAGAAGUCUGAUAUAUUAUUAUCUUCAUAAAACCAUGAGCCUCAUUUGCGGUUUGCAAAAAGUAUUCAAUGUUUAGGUACUAUUGUUCUAAUCUUGGCAAACAUUUUUACUUUAAUUUAGAGUUUAUAUUAUAUUGUUAUAUUGUCUUUAUUUUAUGUGACAGUUGAUUUAUUUGAAUUAGAAAUUUUGAUUGUUGAUUUUAUAUUAGCCAUUUAAAAAAUAUAAGACAAUUAUAAUAGCUAAAUAUUUUUGUUCCUCAUAAUAAAUAUUUUAAUAUGUCAAAUUGAAAAUAUAAAUCCAGUUAUUCAAAGCUUAAAAAAAAAGAAGAAUUUAAAGUUUACUACAAUCUGAAAAAGGAGCACUGUAUAAAUUUUUUACAAGUAAUAAAAAUAAUGAAUCAAGAAUAAUUAAUGAAUGUCCCUUAAACGAACAAGUUAAUAACCUUAGAGAGUUAGAUGAUGAUGAAAUACUAGAAUAAAAAGUUAAUGAAGAGAUUCAAAAUGAUCAUAGAAAUCAUGAUGAAAAGGAUCAAUUGAUUAAUUUAAAUGAUUGUUGUUGUUCAAUUUUUUACUCACGCAAGUAUACGUAUCAUAACGAUAAUAUAGUAAUGAGUAGAGUGUCGAUCCCACAGAGAAUUAAUUUAAUUCUUACUAUUAUCUACUAAAAUUGUAACACCUUAAUCUUAUCCAAACAAUUAAAUUUAAAAUUAUUAAAAAGAAAAAUUAAACUAAUAAACUAAAACUAAAAUUAAAUAAUAAAUUUUUUUCAUAAAACUCACUUAAUUACCAAACUUAAGAUUAUGAUGUCCCUCAAUAGUUCAUCUGAUUAUUGUCUCUCUCUCUCUCUCUCUUAACUCAAUUUAAUGGAUUAUGUUGCGAACCUAAGGUUUUAAAUUAUUUACAAGCCUCUGUCGAGUUUCUCAUAAAAAUAUUUCUCCUAAUUAAUUUACUAUAUAUUUAUGCAACUUAAACUGAAGAAAGAUUCAUUAAGUUUGUGCUCUAAUUUUGACUACAUAUAGCUUAUAGGUGAAUGUCUACACUAUAUGUAAAUCAAAUCACCUAAUCAACUAAGUGCAUUCAAUUAUGCUCUAUUCUAUUCUAGGUCUACCUAGAUCUCCUUCAUCAAAAUUUAAUUUAGGUUUCCAAUUCAAUCUAAUUGGUGACCAGUUAAUCAGAAGCAUUAAGAACAAAAGAAAAUAAACAACUUAAAUCUAUCAAAUAUAAGUAAAAGAGAGAUAAAUAAAUCAGUUUACAUAUUGAGUUCAAUCAUAAUCUUAGAUUAAUAAUUUAGUUCCCCAUCAAAUCACACAUCAUCAUCAAUUAAAAUUUAAACAUUCAAAUCAAACUAAGAAAAAUAAGAAAAUAAUAAAAAGAUAGAAAAACCCAAGAAUUGUAUUCUUGAUCUCCAAAUCUCCUUGAAUCCUUCAAAUUCUUUUUAGCUUCAAUAACUUUGUGGCUUGACUCUUAACUGUCAAUUUGAUGUUUUGUUCUCUUUUAAAAGUCAUUCGAAAAGUUAUUUUUAUAAGGUUUUGAAGUUAGGCCAAGUUGGGUGAAGAAAGAAGUCAAUUUCAGCUAGGAUUUUCUCAUCAGACUACGUGGGUCACAGCCCUGACCAUUUAAACAGUAGAAAUCAUAAUUGUUCUAAGACUGCUACAGUGCUUCAAAUUUGAUCAAAUUUUUUACCACCUUUUAUGCUGAACUGGGUGAAGUAGUAAACAUUAAGGUUGUAGCUUUUUCUCUUAGCUUUCAAAUGGUUUAAGAAUUACUUCAUUUGAAGUUUUGUAGAGAGAGUUAUGGUCGAAAUACCAAAAUGUGUGUAGUAGAAGUCUACACUUUAAAAUUGCUCUUCUUUUUUCAAUAAAAUUCUUCUUUCAUCAAACACCUACAAAAGCACAAAUAAAUCAAUAGCAACUAUCUUAAUCACAUUAACACCAAAUUAAGCAUAAAAUUAACAAAGAUUAGUUUAACUCACCUUAAAUUACUAAUGUAAAAUAAUUUAAAUAAAAUCUACUAAUUUCUAUGCAUAAUUACAAGAACUAAGCUAAAUUACUAUCAAAAUUAAGUCCAAAUAACUCUAUAUCAUAGAGUUAUUAAUUGCAUUUCUAAAAAUAUUUAUGAUCCAAGCAAGGUUAGCUCUUGGGUGAAGUCACCCAAGCAAGGGUUUUAGGCCCUCAAUUUGGAGAGGCCUUAAAUUUGGGAAAACUUUAUAAUUUUAUAAUGAUUAUAAUAUAAUUAAUUAUAUUAAAAAAAUAUAAAAAUUAAAAAAAUGUAAAAGUAAAAUAUAAUUAAUAAAAUUACUUAUUUUCUCACUUCCUUAAUUAUGUGCCUAAUAAAUCUCAAUUUUUUAUCACUUUUUAAUUUCUAGAAUGCUAUUAAUUCUUAAUUAUAUUAUUUUAUUUCCAAUCAACUAGCGGUCAUAUGUAUUUAAUUAUUUUCAACAGCUAUUUUUUUCUUACUUAUUUCUCCUAUUUCCAAUCAACGUAUUUAAUGAUUCCAAUGGCUAUUUUUUUCCUAUACAUAAUACCCAUUAUUUUUUUCAAUGUCUAAUAUUUACUUUUGAGUUCUUUUUUUCUCAUUUACUCUUUCUUCCUUUAACUUUAAUUUUCCUCCAAAGAAUACACAAAAAGUAUGUUAUGUUAUUAUCUUCAUAAAGCUAUGAGCUUUAUUUGCAGUUUGUAAUAAGUAUUCAACAAUUAGGUACUAUUAUUCUAAUUUUUACAAGCUUUUUUAAUUUAAUUUAGAGUUUAUAUUAUAUCGUUAUAUUGUCUUUAUUUUAUGUGACAGUUGAUUUAUUUGAAUUAGAAAUUUUGAUUAUUGAUUUUAUAUUAGCCAUUUAAUAAAUAUAAAAAAAUUAUAAUAGCUAAAUAUUUUUGUACCUCAUAAUAAAUAUUUGAAUAUGUCAAAUCAAAAAUAUGAAUCUAGUUAUGCCAAGCUUAAAAAAAAAAGAAUUUAAAGUUUAAUACACUCUAAAAAAAGAGCACUUGAUAAAUUUUUUACAAGUAAUAAAAAUAACAAAUCAGAAAUUAUUAAUGAAUGUUCCUUAAACGAACAAGUUAAUAAUCUUAGAGAGUUAGAUGAUGAUGAAAUACUAGAAUAAGAAGUUAAUGAAGAGAUUCAAAAUGACCAUAGAAAUCAUGAAGAGAUUCAAAAUGAUCAUAAAAAUCAUGAUGAAGAAGAUCAACUUAUUAAUUAAAAGAUUGCAUUCUUAAAAAUAUUUAUGGUCCAAGUUAAUGGACAAAUAUUGAUACAAAUUUAAGAGAUUUAUUAGUAGAAAAAGUUCCAAUUAAAGUUAAUGAUUUAGAUUUUCUUAUAGAUGAAUUUUCAAGACAUUUUUCCACUACAUACUAUAUUUAAAAUUUGGCAAAUGGGGAGACGUGUAAAAGAAGAUGGCUAGUUUAUUCAAAAGACUUAGAUAAAGUAUUUUGUUUUUGUUGUAAAUUGUUUAAUUUGGAUUCUAGUAUAAGUAAACUAGCUAAUUAAUGUUGGCACUAGAGGGAGAAACCUUAGUGCUACGCUUAAGAGUCAUGAAAUGAAUAAUGAGCAUAUUACUAAUAUGAGUUCUUAGAUUGAUUUAGAAAUAAGUUUGUUAAAAAAUAAAACAAUUGAUAAAAGUGUUCAAGAACUGGGAUGGAGGAACUAUGAUUUUUUUAAUAAUUUUUUUUUCAAAUUUCAAUAAAAAAGACCUCCUUUGAAUAUUUUGCUUUAGACUUUUGAACUUAUUGAGCCGCCCCUACCAUGUCAUCAAGUUUGCCAUGUGUCAUUGUUAUCUUUUUCUACAUCAACUCCUAUUGUAGAAUUUCUCACUUUCUAUGGUGGAAGAAUUGCAUUACCUAUCAUCAUUUACAUGAUUCUUUCCAUGAAAUUCUUCAUAUUCUCAUUAUUCUAUUUAAUUUGCUCUCCAAUAACAUGUUAUGUUCUAGAUUCCCAUCUUUCUUAAGUAGAGGAUCUUGAAGGGAAAGAUUUGUGGUAAGAGGGUCACACGUUGACUUAGACCUUGGUGUAUUGAAACAUGUUGCAUCAAGUAAAGUUGUAGCAGCUACCUAGUCCAAAUCCAUAUAUGUGAGCGCAAGCAGUCUCUAAUCCUUCAAUUGCUUGAGACUAGGCCUACGAUCAAACUCUAAUUGAGAGGAUGAAUAAUUCCUAUACUUUUGCAUAAUGCAAAAGUAUAACUUCCUACAAAAAAAUUAAAAAUGAUUAUCAUUCAAAUAAUUGAGUAAAGAAAAAAUGAAUAUUUAAAGUAAAAAUAGUCAAGAUUUAAAGUAUAUAAUCAAUCAAAGUUCAUGUUCACUAAUAAAUUUGGACUUGUUGUCCACAAACCAAGCACAUCGUGCUAAAUGUUAAUGCAUAUAGUUAACUACUUCAAAAAAUUUAUCUAGUCAUUCCAACUCAAUUUGCCUACAUUCGUAUAUAAUAAUACUUAAUGAAACAUGAAGUUAAUUAUUAAUAUAAGAAGUUAUAAUUUAAACUUUGUUUAUGAUUAUUAAUGUAAAAAACAUUGUGAUUUAAACUUUUUUAAGGAAUUGAGUGAAAAUAUCAUCCUUUUUGCAUGAACAAGAAAAAGAGUUGAACUGCCAAUGUGUCUUGUAAUGCUUUCUUGUUUUUUUUUUUUUUUGAAAAAUAUGAAAAUAUCUUUAUUCAUUGAUGUGGAAUAAUAAUAUUCCAACACUAGAGCGAAAACAAGAGUACAAGACCUUGGACAGUAAAUCCAGAAUACAAAACAAACCACCAACGCUUACCGACCUUAUAUAAACGUAACUAAAUAGAUACAAAGAACCAAGAGCAAAACACUAGAUCUUAAUGAUGACGAAUAAAGACUUAGCAAAACUCAACAGAAGUAAAAAAAAAUUGAGAAAAGCUUAUAAAUUGAAGAGAUAUGCAAAUUGAAACUUGCAUCAAAAUCCAUCAACUAACCAGUUAUUUUUACCAUCAAGCAACCACAUACACACCAAUCAAACCCACCACCUAAUAAACCAAAAUCGUCAUCAUAAAACUCUAGCUGGCGAAGCCAUACUAAGCUUGUCUGCAAUAUCAUUUGCAGAUUUGAUGGUGUGUUGAAUUUCUAGAUUUUUGCAUAACUUUCUUCAAGCUAAUAAGCUACAAAAUAUGUUUUCGAAGUGUCCAGGGAGUAGCAGAUGGACAAUUAGACCACUAAACCGUUAUUAAAGAAUCACUCUCUAUGAGGAGAUAAUGAGAAGAUGCCCACUUAGAAGCCAUAAAAAUAAAAAGAGCUUCUUUAAGAGCGAGUAACUCCACUCUAUUAGCAUUCCUUACACCAAUACUUUUGGAGAAUGUAACCAAAAUUCUACCUUGAUCAUCCUUAAGGACCUCACCAAUGCCAAACUCCCUUAGAUUACCUCUUGCAGCCCUAUCAACAUUAAAUUUAAGUUGACCAGGUCUUAGUUCGCUCCACUCCACCUCUUUGUUAGUUUUUUUACUUUUACUGUCAAUUAUGUGAGAAGCUAUGGAAAUCUAAAAGUAUCAUCAAAUGAAGAACUAACGUUAUCCAAUUUAGUACUAACCCAUUAUGCUACUCUAGCCUUCACAAGCUCAAAAAUUUGCAUUGUAUCUUAAGCUUUUCCAUUAAAAAUCACAUCGUUACGAAACAACCAUAUAGACCAAAUGAUAAAAAAGAAACCCAUAUUCCAAACCUCUAUUUUACUUUUAUCCAUAAAGAUCACAUUCCAAAAAGCAAAGAAAUUGAAAAGGUCUCUAUGACUAACCCAAUAUAUACCCCAAAUAUUACACCAUGUUGCCCAUAACUUCCAUGUUUCAUCACACCAAAAAAAAGAUGUUCAACUGUUUCUUUUUCCUUGAGACAAACAACACAACAAGUAGCAUCAGAAUUAAUACACCCUUUCUUAAAAAGUUCCUCCUUAAUAGCCACUUCCCCAUGAAUAACUUACCAACAAAAAAUUUCAACCUUAAGAGGUGUUAAACCAGCCCACAUGAUAACUCUAUGAUAUAGAGCUAUUUGGGCUUAAUUUUGAUAGUAAUUUAGCUUAGUUCUUGUAAUAAUUCAUAGAAAUUAAUAGGUUUUAUUUAAAUUAUUUUAAAUUAGUUAAUUUAGGUGAGUCAAUCUAAUCUUAGUUAAUUUUUUGCUUAAUUUGGUGUUGACGUGAUUAAGAUAGGUUGUUAUUGAUUUAGUUGUGCUUUUGUAGGUGUUUAAUGAAAGAAGAUUUUUAAUGAAAAAAUGAGAGCAAUUUUAAGAUAUAGACUUCACUGCAUAUGUUUUGGUAUUUCGACCAUAACUUUCUCGACAGAACUUCAAAUGAGAUGAUUUUGACACCAUUGGAAAGCUAAGAGAAAAUGCUACACCUUUUAUGUUUACCACUUCACCACUUCGGCUUGAAGAUGACCAAAAAUCAUAUCGAAGUUGAAGCAAUAUAGUAGUCUUAGAUAAUUUAUGAUUUCUACUAAUUAAUGGGUCGAGGUCGCAGCUCACGUAGUUUGAUGAGGAAAUCCUGAUUGAAAUUGACUUCUUUCUUCACCCAACUUAGCCUAACUUUAAAGCCCUAUACAAACAACCUUUCGGAGGACUUUUAAAAUAAAAAGAGUGAAACACCAUAUUGACAGCUAAGAAUCAAGUUGCAAAGUCAUUGAAGCUGAGAAGAAUUUGAAGGAGUCAAGAAGAUUUGAAAGAUCAAUCUUAUAAAUUCUUAGGUUCUAUCAUUCUUUUGUUAUUUUCCUAUUUGUCUUAGUUCGAUGUUAUUGUUUAAACUUUAUUUGAUAAUGACGUGUGACUUAAUGGGGAACUAAAUUAUUUCUCUAAGAUUAUUAUUGAACUCAAUAUGUAAUCUGAUUCAUUUAUCUCUGUUUUACUUAUAUUUGAUGGAUUUAAGUUAUUUAUUUUAUUUUGUUCUUAAUGUUUCCUAUUGCCUGAUCACCAAUUAUAUUGAAUUGGAAAUGUAGGUUAAACUUAACACAAGAGAUUUAAGUAGACGUUGAAUAGAAUAGCGUAUGAUCGAAUGCACUAAGUUAAUUAAGUGGUUUGAUUUGCAUAUAGGGUAAACAUACACCUAUAAGCCAUACGUAGCUAAGAUUAAAGCCUAAACUUAAUGAAUUUGUCUCUAAUUUAAUUUGCAUAGACAUAAAGUAGAUUAAUUGGGAGAGAUAUUUUUAUGAAAAAUGUGACAAGGACUUGUAAAUAAUUUAAGACUUUAGGUUAGCAACUUAAUCCAUUAAGCUAAGUUAAGAGAAAGACACAAUAAUCAGAUGAAGUAUUGAGAGAUAUCAUAAUCUUAGGUCCAAAGUCAAUCAGAUUUAAUAAAAUAAUUUUGCUAGUUAAUUUAGAUUAGUUUUAGUCUUUAGUUUGUUUUUCUUUUUAAUUUAAUUUUUAAUUGUUUGGAUAAAAUUAGGGUGUUAAAAUUUAGUUAAUUAACAAUAAGAAUUAAAACAAUUCUCUUUGGGAAUGAUACUCUACUUUAUCACUAUAUUACUUGUAAAUGAUAUGUACACUUGCGUGAGAAAUCAACAACACCACACUACUCUCCAUAAAUUCCUAUUUACUCCAUUAAUCCUUAAAACAGAAUUAUAAUAGGAUUGAACAGAAUAUGAACCAUCUACACCCUUCCAAACUAAUUUAUCACACAAAACAUCAUCCACACAAAAAUCCCCAAUGCAAUCAAGUAACCCAUGCCAUUAUUCAUUCUCCCAAUCAAAAGUAUUUCUUCACAAAUUUAUCAACCACGUCCAAUUACCAUUAAACCAAUUCCCAAAAUUACUCACAAUACUUGACUUGUUUAUAGAUAGUGCAAAGAUUCAAGGAAAUACACUUUCAAUAUCACACCCUUCAACCACUCAUCAUGCCAAAAUAGCACAUUACGAACAUUGCCCACAACGACUCCCAUACCAAUAAGUAAAAAGUUAUAAUAAUUAUUGGUGGGGAAAAAAAAAAGGUUAUGUUUCUCCACACUUUUGACACUCUAUUACUCUCACUAACACGGGGUAAUAGCUCCAAGGGAUUUCGUUCAUUCUUUUCUUGAAUGACUUUCCUCCACAAACUUUCAUUUUUCUCUCUAUACCUCCAAAUCCACUUAUUAAGUAAUGCUCUAUUUUGCACCUUAAGAUCCAUAAUGCCUAGACCCCUAUCCCACUUAUGUCUAUAAACAAUAUCCCAGCUUACCUAAUGAAGUUUCCUCUUUUCCUCCGACCCACCUCAAAGAAAAUUCCAUUGGAGUUUUUUCAGUUUUGCCUUCACCUUUUGCGGCAUUUGCAUUAAAGACAUAUAAUACAUAGGUAAACUAGCAAGUACAACUUUAAGCAACGUAAUACGUCCUCCAAUUGACAAUAAAUUAGCUUUCCACCUUGCUAGCUUAGACCUACACCUGUCUAUAAUCGGUUGCCACAUAGCCCUUGAACCUUGUUUAAUGCCAAAAGGAAGUCCAAUAUAAGUUGAAGGAAAAGAUCCUACUUUACAUGGAAUUACAAUCACCCAUUCAACCACUAAUUGUUCCUCUACUACCACUCCAAAAAUAUUACUUUUAGUUUGAUUGAUUCGCAAGCUUGACAUCACUUGAAAGCAUCUGCAAAACUUUUUUCAUGUUAAAAAUACUAUUAAUAUCAGGUUUGUUGAAAAUGAUUGUGUUGUCCGCAUAUUGUAAAUGUGGGAUACAAAAAGCAUUACGCCCAAUGUUAAUUGCUUUACAGAACCCAACCUCCACAGCUUCAUUCAUCAUCACACUAAACACUUCAACAACAAUGUUAAAUAGAAAAGGAGACAGUGGACAUCCUUACCCGAGUUCUUUAUUUAGUUUAACUUGUCUAGUCUGUGUCCCAUUAACCAAUAUCAACACUAAAGCUGAACUAAUGCACCCCCAUCAUCCACUUUCUCCAUCUAGCCCCAAACCCCAUUUUACCCAUAACAAACUCCAAGAAAUUCCAAUCCACACUAUCAUACACCUUUUCAAAAUCCACUUUGAACACAGCCCCUCCCAUUCUAUCCUUUUUCAUAAGGUUUAUCACUUCAUUAGUUAUAAGAGCGCAAUCAAGAAUUUUGACGUCCCUUAAUAAAACCAAACUAGGACUUUCCAACCACCUCUUCGAUAACUCCUUUCAACCUUUGUGCUAGAGACUUAGCAAUUAUUUUGUAUAAGCAACUUACUAAACUGAUGGGCCUAUAAUCAUUGAGACAUGUAGGGUUUUCCUUCUUAGGAAUUAGUGUAACAAAAAAAGAAUUAACCUUAUGAACAAAACUCACCUGUUUGUUGAAAAUUUGCAAUAAACACCAUCAAGGCCCUUUUGACCAUGGCCCAUUGAUUUUUAAAAAAACUCAUGGUGUAUCCAUCCGGCCUUGAUGCUUUAUUCCCAUCACACUCCAUAAUAAUUGCAUGAACUUCUUCCUCAUAGAAAUCCCUUUCCAAACUCAAAGCUGAGUGUUCAGAUAAUUGCAAAAAGUCACAGUCAAUAUCCUUAACCACCAAAGUUCUCCUUUUCUCACAUAAUUUCUCAAAAUGCAUGGAAGUUUCUUCUUUUAUCAAAUGUGGACUAUCAAUCACUUUGUCAUCAACUACAAGUUUUGGAUUAGAUUAACUUCUAUCUUAUCGAUGCCACCGUAUGGAAGAAUUUUGUUUUCCUAUCACCAUCAAGAGCCUAUUUUACUCUUAACUACUGUCUCCAUGAUCUUUCCUCAUUCCUAUACAACUCCCAAAGCUCCUUUCUCAAAUCAGCAACUACUUGCCACGAUACUUUAUCACAUGUACCUUUUUUCAACUCCACCAUUUUCUGCUGAAUAUCAGUUUCUAACUUUUGGAUGUUUUCUUUCACUUUACAAAAUCUCUUUUGCUACCAUACCUUAAUAUCAGCUUUGGCAACGCUUAAAGUGUGUCAAUGUCAAUCCCAUACAAACUGCAUUUAUCCUAAGUUGCUUUAAACAUCUCACAAAACUACUUAUCCUCUAACCAAAAGUUAGAAAACUAGAAAGGCUUUGGGCCUCAUUCAAAAGAAACUUUACCUAACGCCAUUGGAUUAUCGUCAAAUAAAGAAUUUGGUAGACAUUGUUGAAACAACUAAAGGAACCAAUUCAAAAAUUUUGCACUUACUAAAACCUAUCUAAUCUACCAAACACUUUACCAUUGCUCUAAUUGAAUUUACUACCACUCAUUGGAAGAUCCAUGAGUUAAAGAUUAUUAAUAAAAUCAACAAACCUCUUUGUGCUCUUUCAAUUGUCAACUACCCCGCCUCUUUCUUCCUUAGUAACCACUGCAUGGAAAUCACUUACUAAACACCAUGGAAAAUCAUUACUCCUAACCAACUUCAAAAUUUCAUUCCACAAUCAUUACUACUAACCACAGUUCGCAAAACCACAUUUACAAUUAUUCAUCUUAAGAACACUAAUAAGAAUUAUAUAGUUCUUGUGUAUCACUUUCGAGUCAACAUGAAAAAAUUCCUUUUUCCACAUAGUAAGCAAACCCCCUGAAUUUCCCAUCGCCUCAGACAAGCAACCUCUAAAAAUAGAUUUCCCCUUAAAGAAUCAAAAAACCUUAUUUGUUGUCCAUUGUGUUUAGUUCCUUGCAAAAACACCAUGCUAGCCUUUUUAUCAGAGAUUAAAUUCCUCACAAAUCUUUUCUUUUCACCCUUAUCAAUACCUCUAACAUUCUAAGAUAUUAAUAGCAUAUCAUCAAAUUUGAAAACCCCUAAAGUCAGUUAUCUACUAACAUACAUUUAUUGAGCCUUCAAACUCUUAGCUUCCAAGGUAGAAAAUUCUUUGACAAUUUCAUCUUUACUGCUUCUGAAAACAAUUCCUAGCUCCUCAACAACCCUCCAAUUAGCCUCCACCUCCUUCAAAAUAAUAUUAUUUCGACAGGCAAUAUCUUUAUCUUACAUUGAACCAUCAACCAUAAUAGUUCUCAUGGAUUCUACUAUUUCUUUUGUGAUAAUUUUCCUUUUCUUGACAAUUGAAUUUGUUUUCUUCCUAGUAGAAACCAUAUUCUCCUUACAACCACACCUACAAGUUUUAUCUGACUUAUUACGCUCUGAUAAUCUUAAACUCUUCCUAUAUUUUGGAGAAGAUAUAGGACUAACAAAAGUUUCUUGUGUCUUAUUGUGUGACACAUCAAUUGUAUUUUCUAUGUUAACCUUUAAGUACUAUUCCGAGGCAACUUUCCCACCAACUCCUCUGUCUCUCACAUAACACACCAUUGCCCAUUAUUGCAUCUUAAUAUUAUCAUUGUGAAUACUCUUAAGAAGAAACUCAACUGCCAAAUCCCCACUAUCAUUCACUGACUCCACUUUAUCAGAACACUACUUUUAAUUUUUACUCUACAGAAUCCCGAUAGACAUUCUAGCAUCAGUUUCCCUAAACACCACCAACUCAUUAUUAAACUCCUUAAAUAAACAUUGACUUUCUCCUUGAUUAUCCUUAUUAGUCAUUCGCUCCACUGAACCAUUAUGUUGAAUCUCCUCUCUCAUUGACUCAUCAAUUAAAGACACACCAUUCCUCAUUUUCUUUCUUUUACCACUCUUCUUCUCAGGGCUUUUCUUCUUUCACUAUUUUUACUAAAAUUCGAAAUGACCAAUAGACCUUUUUUCUUUAAACUAACAUUUUUUCUUCUCUUUUCAUAUUCUCCAUCCUUCAAGUAUUUCUGAAACUAAACAUAAUCAUCAACUUGGAUCAUCUCAUCAAAAUCCUCUAUACUUUGAGCCUCCUUAUUAACCACCUUACUUGGACGUAAACCUUUAUUUUGUUGAUCAACUGAACCUUGGCCUACAACAACUUGGUCUGUCAAUCCAUUUCCUUCUUUUAAUUUGUCAUAAGAACUUUUUUCAAAAUGCCCAAUUUCCAUAUUCCUUCUUAAUCCUCUUUGCUGACUUUCCUUCUCUACUAUGUUAUUUAUUACAUCAAAUGAAAGCCUUUGUACUUCCUCACCAAUAGACUUCUUCCACCGCGGUUCAACAUCUUGUGAAUAAUCCCUUGAAGUAUGAUUAUCUGAUUUAGACAUCAAAAGGGCAUUUCCAACCUUCAGGGUAACAGACUUUGAAUCUCUUAUCCCAAAGCCACCCUCACCUUUAUACUCCAAAGAGUUUUCUACCAAAGCCAUCACGGUUUCCUUAUUUUUGCCAACAUCAAAAGAAAAUGAAGCAUAAUUGGGUGAACUUUGACAAGUUAUUUGGGCUUUUUCUUAUAACUCUUUUUCACUCAUAUCAACCACAAAUAUAGAAACAUCAAAUCAGAACCUAUCCACAUAAACUUUCAAGUAAAGUGGAAACUAGGUUUCUCUAUUCACUUUAACGAACACUUGACCAACUUCAAACUAGUUCUUCAACACCAUAUCCUUAUCAAAUACCCCAACUUUACCCCAUUUUUCUACCAACAAUUUAAAAAACUUCUCAGGCCAAAAGUGAAUAGGGACAUUCUCAAAUUUCAACCAUUGCAAUUUUUUAUCAACAGACUUACACUCCUUAUAGGGUGUUAGACUCUCAAACCACAAUUCAUAUAAAUCUUGAUACUUGUUAAUGAUGGCCUCCAUGUUUUCUCUGCAAUCGAAAGUUACCAGGACAUUGAGCCUUUGAUCCGAGCUACCUUUACCUAGAUUUUUUCCAUGAACAACACCAACUACACCUGUUGAAGCGAAAACUCUUGUCUGAGAACUCCAAUAACACUCUUGUGUAGCCAUUCCAUCUCCAUCUCCAUCUUUGGUAACUCACUAUCCUAUACCAACGGUAUUUAACCGUCCAAACCAUCCAGAUUUGCCGUCUCUCUUGUCGACACCUUACCUUUUAAUCUAUAAUCAACUAAAAUUUCCCUUUCUUCUAUAUCCUUCCCUUUAGGUAAAUAAUUUGCCAAGAUUUCUCCUUUUUCAAAAUCUAGAUCUGUUCCAAUCAGCAACUCCCUGUAUGAUCUGGAAUCCUUAAGCAACCUUUGCUAUUGCGGUAUCACCAUGGCCUGAACACCCUUCAACACACCUUGGGAUUUUUUUUUCAAUCGAGCAUGGCUUCCCUGACAAAGAUCUUACACCUAUCGAUCAAUCUUCCAUUGCCCCCUUCUAUCGCCCUCUCCAAACCCUCUCUAAUCUGGAACCUCAUAAAAGCAAAUUUAAAAUCUCUUGUCCUUACCAAAAAUUUACUCUUAGAAAUGAAAACAUCCAUGACCCUGCCAUACUCUUCAAAUAUCACUCUCACUAUUGAUUGCAGCACCCGAGUGCUUAGAUUCCCCACAAACACCAUGAACAAGGAUGCUCUCUACUUGUCAAUAGCUCUAAUGGUUCGAUUGCUCAACCUUUCCCUAAACCGUUACCUUCAUUUGAAAUCCCUUAGCUCUGAUUACCCCUUAAUCCUCUCACUCUCCCUCAGCUUCUCUCUAUCACCCUUAUAGAAUCUCUUGUCAUUCCCCUCAGACUCUCUCUCAUUUUUUUUAUCUCCAAAAGUUAGUUAGGGUGUUUUGUUGUAAACUUCAAUCUAAACUUGAUUCAGAUUAUUAAUUUUGUUUAUAGUAAUUGAAAAAAAAAAUCAAUGAAAGGAGAAAAGGCCUAACAGAAAAAGGUACAAAAUUUUCUCGAUCAACGAUAGAAUAAGAGCUUACCCCAUCCAUGCUGAACAUUUGCUUGUACUGCUUACCAAGAGCAUUUGUUGGCUUCAUGAGAACCUAUAUAUUCAUAAUUAAUUGUCAUUUUUUGACUUCAUGAAAAGCUUACCCUAUAUUCAUAAUAUAGUAAUAUUUUAAUCUAAUCUACAUCUACGCAUUGAAAAACCCAAUCUCUAAGAGAAUUAUACAACCUCUUAUAAAUUCAACUUAUAUUUAAUUAUUUACCCUAUUUUCUAUAAAAAAAUUAUUUACCUCAUUUCUUAUUAUAAGUGAAAAGACAAUGUUUUAUUGAAAUGCAUGCUUUCUUUUCUAUACUCUGUACUCCAUAUAAAUGUUCCCGUAUGUUCAAGUAACUGUGCAAUUUAGAGAUGUUUCAGUUUAGUGGCAGACCUAUAACGAACUUUGGUUUUGAAAUUUCUCCAUUCAUCCCUUGGUUAAGGUGGUAUCUUACUUCAAGCAUGUAAUACAGCCAUCCAAGAUGAGUUUUAAAAAAAAAUGAAGACUUAACUAUGGCUUUCAUAAUCCUAUAAAUUAUUGUAUAGAUGGGGCGGAGGAAUAGCUUAAUUAGCAACCGCACUACACUUCUCCUAAUGCCACUGGGCUUCACAGUUCACACUAGGCAUCACCUGACCUUGUGCCUGGACAACUACCCACCCUUUUUGACCAAAGCUAAUACUUACAGUUCAAAGUUGGCAUUGACAAUUAAAAGAAAAAGAAAACCCACCAGCAGCAGCAGCGACCCGCGGCUGCCUCUGUUGGUAUUUCCACCAUUUUCCAAAGUCUUACUAAUCUAGAUCUCCUUAUAAAUAGUCUACAAUAGAGAGUUGAGACCAAAUCCAAAUAAGAAGGAAGCUAUUUAUAUAUACAUGUAAAAUAAUGAGGUCGUGGUGGUACAGAAUUUAGCAACCAGAAAUUAAAUAUUGCUAGAUCAAUCUAUACUGAGUUUUAUAUACACCACUAAUUAUUUCUGUCUUAUGAUUGGUUCAGUAGACAUGGACCGAACAUAAUCUGGAUGAUUCCUGGUUGAAUUAAUGCAUUAGAAAUGGAGCAAACUAUAUUUAUAACAAAACAUUUUUUAAAAAAAAUAAAAAGAACUUUCUGGUGAUUAUAUAACAAAAUAUUGUAUAGCAAUUAGGAAUAGUAUAUCCAACGGCAACGAUUAAUAUUUUUGAAACAAUGUUAGGCAAAAGGCAGUGCAAGGGGGAAUAUUGACUCACCUAAGUUGGCGAUUGGCUCUAGAAGUAAAUUGAAUGCUGGACGUAUUAAAAACUCGACUAUCUGAAAAAUAGGAAAGAAACCCCUGGUACUUUAAAAGAAAAAAUCUUUCCAAGAAUCAAGAUCCAAUGCUUCAAAUUCAACACUUAAAAGUUCAUCACCCCUGGAAAAGAAUCAUAACAGGACCAUUAAAUAAAUAUGGCUUAUUAACAGUUGGUUCGAAAUGAUUUGGGUUUCUUUUAUUCGGAUUUGAGUUGGUCCAUUAAAUACCUACCUAUCAGAUCAAAAAAUAAAGAAAGGAGAAAAUUAAAUGGGAGCCGGCCGGUAAAAAGAAUAUUAAGCUACUUUAUGCCAAAAAAAUGUAUUAUUUGACAACAGAUGAGAAGAUAAAUGUACUCCUUAACAAAUAUUAAUCCAUAGUGUUUGCCCAUUGCCCUUUUUGUCACCUAUGAGAAAAAUGAAAAAAGAAAAAAGAAAAAGAAGAAAAAAAGGGCGGGGCCAAAAUAAACUCCUAUUAGAAGCCAGCAGUUCUGAGCUCGUCUUCAAGAAUCUCCUCAAGCAACAACUGGGACUCUUCCAUCAAUCCAGGGCUUAAUCUGAACAUCAAUACGCAGAACUCCAUCUCAUUGAGAACCCCGUCACCAUCCAGAUCACCUUCUCUCACCAUGCUCUCAAGUUCAUCGUCUCUCAAAUCUUGCAACCCCAGCAUUGCCGCAUUCCUCUUCAAGCUCUCCACGGUGAUGACCUCCUUCUCCUUGUCCAUCAACAGCCUGAACCCAUUACACAGCUCCCUUAUUAGCCCCUCUCCACCCAGCUUCUCAGCCAUCGCUGGCAAUAAAUCCUCGAAAUCAGAAGCUGUUUUACCAAACCCUGCCAUUGAUCCUUGGAUUGAUAUUUUUGAUUUCUACAAAAAAAUAUAUAUUUCUGUAUUUGAGAUGCGUUGGGGUAUUUUAAGAGUGCAAUAUAUAUAUAUAUAUAUACAAGGGAGAAGAGAUGAGGAGGUUUUCUUGGAAAGAGAAGGGGUUAUGUUCUCCCAAUGUAUGACAGCAAAGGAACACAAAACUUUCUUGCGGGUCGGCUUUGAUUCUUGCAGAGCUGGAACUGCCUCUGUUUCGGAGAAGUUGUCAGGGGUACUUUCGUUUUGUUCUGUUUUUUUUUUUUUUUUGGAUUUUUUAAUGUUUCCUCUGUCUGCUUUUGACUUGAAAUAAGAUUUGACAGGGUAAAGUAGUUUCAUGAGGGGUAAUUGUUGUAAUUUAGGUCAAAGCUCUGAGGGUAACAUCGUCAAUUUGGAAGCUUUCUGCUUGGCUUUUCAGAUUGACUUUCGUCACUGGGGCCGGACGGUUGGUUUGCAGUUUAUAAUUAACUUUGUUCACAUAAAAGUGUAUGGAGACGCAAUUAAUUGAAAUCGGAAAAUUAAUAUACUAUGGAAAACAUGGAGUCAGUGCGUUCCUUGACAAAAUUGGAGUCUUUUUGGUGGUUUCAUGAGCAAUUUCAGGAUAAGAACUUAAUAACGAAGCUUAAUGGCUUCCUUCUUGAGAAAGUUUUGCGAAGAUUUUGGGAAAAUAUGGGUGACAAUUCAUAAAGGAGGAUAGGAUGAUAAGAAGUCUUUUGGUUUUUCUCGGAAAGUUGGUUGCAAUUGAGAAAUACACAAUUCCUUGUCACAUGAAGAAUGCAUAUGAUAAUUUUACCGCUCUUCAUCUUCCUCGGCAGAAAACCAAUAAUUGAGGUUGAAAUUUUAUAAAAAUAUAUGCAAUGGAUUACAUGUUUGAAAUAUAAAAUAUGUAGCUUGUGCGGGUGGGUACUGCGCUGAGAAACUUCAUGCAUUCAUGCCCUGUUAUCCAAACCAAACUUUCCUUCCGGGGAACCUUCAUUUUCUUUUCCGGAUUCAUAUUUUCUUUCACGAGAAGAAAUGACUGUAUUGCAUUAAUUUGUUCUUUAAAAAACUAUUUGAUGAAUUGAUUUUUAUGGAUUGUUCCAAACAAACAACCAAAACAUCAUUAAGUUACAGUUUGCGUAAAGCUGGUGGUCAUAAAAUUUUAGCUAGGUACAAAUUGAAUUAUUGGGAUAUAGUGUUGAAGAAGUAGUCAUGUAGGUCUAAAAGUAGAUUUUAAUAUUUAAUUAAGAGUAAAAAGAAUUGGAAAACGGUCUGUCAUAAAACCGAACUUGUUUAUGAACAGAAUAAAGCUACUCGAUGCAAAAGGUUUCAUAUUAUUAAUUUUUUGACGCAAAAGCUAUCCGAAAUGAGGAAGUAAUUAAGGUGGUGUGAAUAGGAAUACGUACCCAAGUCAACUUUUGUGAACAAAUUAAGCAGUAGCACGAUACCUGAUGAAUUUCCUUUCAGGGAAGGCAAUGAGAGGGGAGGGGAAAACCUAGGAAAGUAGCGUGAAUCAUCCCUCCAACCCGCACGAAGUAAUUAUACGCGUAUUCUACGCGUACAGGGUAAACCGCUAACACCUGUCUGUCUGUCUGUCAACACCAAAUAAACAAAGUUAAUGCACGAAUGACAAACACAUGGUGUUCACUGGAUUGGAAGAGAGACCUCUUUUUGAUGACUUCUCAGUCGGCAUUUUGACAUUUCUGAUGAACACGACGAUGCCCAAUAUUAAUAUAGCUAUUAGCUUGCAUUCAACCUCAUUAAUUAAUUUUGUCAAACGGGUAUUGAUUUCUUCUCUUUUCACCCUGAGCCCCCAGCAGUUUCUCAUUUGCUUGAUCAGGCCCUUUUUAUUUCCCCCACAGUUAUAUAUUAAAUUAACUAUAUAUUUAAGAGAUAAUUCUCACCAAUUCGUUUCUCAAAGUUUAAAAUCAAAUUCUUUAGAAUUGAAAAUCCAAAAUUUUUCCGUUAGAAAGAACUGAUCAAAAGAGAAAAAACAAAAAACUUAAAAACAAGUUUUUAUUCUAAAAUGUUAAUUUAGAGUUAUUCUCCUAUCUGAUUAUUUUGUUAUUUAUAGCUUUCGAUGUUCCUACUAUGUCUAUAAUACCAUAGUCCAGCAAGAAAUUUCACAUUUAUUCGGAUCUAAAGAGGGUAUAUCAGAAAGAAUUUGUCACUAUUUGUCAGUAUUACAAGUAGAAAUAUCAACAGGUAACGUAUUUAUUUUAUUAUUUAAGUGCUCAAAUCUUAUAAAUGUCUUAUAAAUUUUUUGAAUUGUUAUCUAAAUCCGUGUCAUCCAUACUUGUUAAAUAUUUAAUUAAAAUAAAUUUAUAUAUAUUAUUAAUAAAAAUUAAAUUAAUAAAUUGACAUUCAACUUCGAAGCUUUGAAGUCUUUCUAAAAUAUAAUGGGAGCUGGCCAACCGAGGGAUGGAUUGGAACCCUGCCGGCAAGAUCAGUGGGCUGGAGUGCCACAGCAAAGAGAAGUACUAUUAGGCCAACGUGCGUUUAGCAUUAACAGUCAAUAGCAAGCUGACAAUCACAGAAUUUGGGUUGAAGCCCAAGAUAUGGUGCUAGAGAUGUCCAAACUCCAGAUGGCAAUAAUUCAGCAAGUAAUUCUUGUACAACUACAUAUUCACCAUAAUCCUAAGCUCCUAAAAGAAAGAAAGAAAUAUAGCCCGAUCGUUUGUUUUUAACAAUGAAUUUGGAGCAUGGGGAAUCGAAAUUGGUUCUUUUGUUCUUGAAGUGAGAUAGCCAUCAAAUUAAAUAGAGCUGCAAAUUCAGUUUGCCUAAGCUUUUGAAAGUUUCGUAGUGAGCAUGGUCAAGUUACCAAGAAGAUCUCUUCGAAAAUUUUAGGUUACAAGCCUAGAGUCUAGAAGGGCUCAAAUCUGGGAUUAAGAGCCACUCCACCCAACACUUUAGCCAGGGGCAUGUGCCCCUAGCUCGAGAAUCUUAAUUUUCCUCUCAAUUGCUAACGUAGAAUUAGAUAGGUUUGCACAUCACUUUUUUUUUUUUUUGAAAGAUUGGAGUUUCAUUGCAAAGAAGGGUGGAAUAAUCCCCUUCAAAAUACAUCAGUGAAGAACCAGUGAUUCGUGGACUAUACCUGGGCACAAAAAGCAGGUAUAUUCCCCAAAUCUUACUCAUAGCUACCCACUAAAAUCUGCUAUACAAAAAUCUGACAGCUAUACACUUCCCAUGACUGAUACAUACACAAUCCUGCCUAUACACAACGCAUCAAGUCAUGGCAGUAGAACAAAAUAGAACCCGACCCUUCCUACCCUUAAAAACCACAAAAAACUUUUAGAGACAAUCAAGAAGCACAAAAAUCAUCAAUUCAAUAGCAGAACAUCAGCCACCCGGUGACAGAUUGCAAGACAUUCAAUACUUCACCAGCUAGAAUUUUCCUCACCGGUUUCAUAUAUCCGCAGAAGAUCCUGCUGCCUAUAAACCUCUUCUUUAGCCAACUUAUCCGCAACUUUUUUCUGAAAUUUCAUUGUAAAAACUCUCGAGGGAGCCAGAAACACUCCCCUGUGCCGAAACAGAGCGAGUUGAUCCUGGUCUGUUAUGCUCUGAAGUGAGGAUAACAUCAUAGGAUCAUCUCAGCAGAAACUGUGCAUUUGACAAAAGGUUUUGCAUGUCACUGGAGAGACAAUCAGGGAUAGAAUGUUCGGCUGGCAGCAAAAAUGUUGCUUGGAGCUUAAAAAUAAGAUAAUCUUGAAUAAAUAGGAAAUUCUUGAGCAGAAACUGCCAAAUGCAGGUAAUGCUCAAGCAAAAUUAAACACAACAAGUAUUGAUAAACAUAAAAUUUGCUUCCUAUACUUGUAGAAAUGACGUUUUUGGAGCCUUGUACUUUUACUAUCUACCAUGUUCUAAAGUAACGGUUAGCUCAUUAUGGGAAAAUGUCUCUGGUUUGCUAGAUGAAGAAGCUUUGCUAGAAGGGCACCGCCUGACUACGAAUGCUGGUUGUUUUGGAGCUGGAAGAGACGCAAUUUCGCUGCCAAGCAUGAAAACUACCUGUGACAUGGUGGGGCGAUCGCUCGGGUCUUCUUGUACGCACAAGAGCCCAACAGUUAGACACAUUAGAAGUUCGUCUGCAUUGCAACUUCCACGCAGUGUCUGGUCCAACAAAUCUAAUGCCUUGUCUGCUUUCCACAAAUGCCAUGCCUGGGAACAGUUGUAAUAU